rnacentral:lncRNA from 1 species
CACAAGAAGCUACAUAAAAAGAUGAUAUUCAUCAAAGAAGCAAGCAACAAAACAAGAUGAAAAUGUAUCUAAAAACAGGAAAGAUUUUUAUUUCUUUUUUUUUAGUGAACUCCAAAACUCAUAAACAAAAUGCCGAGACCAUUAAUCCACAAGUGAAACAGGCGAACCAGAUAUAACAAAAUUGCAGGAAUACAAAGGGGUCCAAAUGCAAAUGCAGAAGCAUGACAGGGGCCAUCGAUGGCAAUUUGCACCUAAAUUCAAUUGACAAGGAAAGCACUUACAUCACAAGAUAGAAUUUCUUAGAAACUAGUAACAAUGCAAAUAUCACCUGAGUGUUCUAUUCCAAAAAGAUAAUAACCUUAAUCUAAAACAAUAAGAAAUACUAAGAAAUACUGACAAAAUGAAGGUCUUAAUUCCAGCAAAAUGGUUUCCAUUGUGCAUAGAAAUGCAUUUAAGACUUGAAUCGAACAGCCUAGAGAAGCACAAUCAAAGCUAACCAUGAAGCAAAACAUAUAGAUGGCAUAUUUGGCAACACGCAUUCAACAUAAUGGAUCAAAAGCACGUAAAAGGAGUAGCUAAAGCAAUUAAGAAGCAACAAAUAGAACACAGUUCAUCUAGGGCAAAGUUGUGACGCGAGAGAGAGAGAGAGAGAGAGAGAGAGUAGCAGUGGCGACGGCGCGACGCCGCCCGAAACCCAGUGAGCAUUUGAAAUGAGUCGCCGGGUGAGUUGAGGGGAGCCGCUUCAACUGAAUUCGGCGGCGAAAUGCAUUCACCUGAACGACUUGUACGCAAAGUCGGCGGCGCAAAGCCGGCUCUGCCGACUUUCGUUAACACCUCAAGUGUCGAGUAGGGGCCCAGUCCGAACUGACUUGGGGCCAGUCCAAAUGUGAAUGGGCACCCAAAUUUUGAGCCCAGUCCAAACUGGCUAGACAGGGUCAAACAAUAAACGGAUGGAUCCAAAUUCAUAAUUGAGUCUUUGUUUAUAGACUCGACCUGACCCAAUAAACUAGGCUAGGCCUCGCGGAUCCAAGUAUCCAACCAAUAUAUGAACUGGGUGGGUUGGGUUUUGAUGGAUUGAGUCAUAUGUCCCAAGGCCCUCCAGUUGGAAACACUGUAUGGGAAGACUCCACACCUACUGGGGGACCGUCUAAUCAACUGUCUAUUACAUACAUACAGCGCAUGCCAUAUGUUAUAAUAUUAUAUUUCAUUAUCUUGAGCACUUGGCAGAUGCAUGUUCUCGGUAAAUCUCGCUCCAAGAUGGUAAAUCUGUGGGUUUUACGGCCUACGAGCAACUCCAAAAAAUAAUAAUCAUAAAAAUCAUAAAAAAGAAAAUCGAGGAUAUUAUCCACUGCAUUAUUCACACUGUCCAAAAAGAGAUACUCCUAAAUUGGCUUGACAUUUUCUAGUGAAUUUCUAGAAGAUAUUGAUUGCAAAGAUUGCAUAGAAUCCACAAACAAUAAAUAUAUACAUAUACAUGGGAGCGAAGUUCCCAACUUGCAUCGAUCCAUCCAGAGCCAUAAUAGUCUUCGCUAAGCUUCCAUUCAUCUUGUCACUAUGCAUGCUAGCAGGAAGAUAUCUGCUCCUCAUUCUUGCCUCACGUGAGCCUGCGUUACUUAUCUGUUUUGCCAUCAAUUAACAUUAAAAAAACAUCAUAAUUGUUGAACCAAACAUAUAUAGAAAACUGCGAACUUUAAAGGCCUGUUUGGCCGAGAUGAUGGGAGAAUUACUUAUCACUGAAGAAGUGGUUCCAAUGGAGUAGCUAAUCUGCACAUGUUUCUACUUUUGCGCGUUAUUUCUUUCUACUUGUGCGAAAUACAAAGUUGCUAGAAAAUUGUUAUAGUCGUCGUUUGCUACGUGCAGCAGUACGACGAUUAUGAAGAAAAUAUGUAUAUGUAAGGCACUGAUUGGGAUAAAUGAUCUUUGUGAUUUGCAGAGGAGUUACAGCGCGCCGAUGCCGAAUGUGACAAAAUCAGUCAGAAAUACAUCGGAUUUUGCUUCAACAAUAGCAAAUGUAACGCCGUAUGCAUCGACGAGGGCUACUCGAGAGGGAAAUGCGUCGUGUGGUUCUUCGGCCUCCGCUGCACUUGACUAGCAAACAUCAGCCGAAUCUCCUGUUGAGGAGCCAAGAAUUGGCAAAGAAAUAUGCUCUCUAGCUACAUUUUUGUUUGUCUCAAUAAGAUACUUAAUCAAUUAUGACAAGUGUCCUAUAUAUGGAUUUUUUUUUUAAAAAAAAAAAAGUUUUCGGUGCCUCAUGCAGAAGUUAGAAAAGAGAUUAGUAGUUCUUACUACCUCCAGAAAAGAAUGCGCUGUAGACGGUAGCUGAUCACUCACCUCUAGCUGCAAAAAACUAAGCUCGGUAACUUGUUAGCAUUAAGGGGUUUUGAUCCCUCUUAACAGAACCCAAAAAAGCAAAGAUACAGAGAUAUGAUGCAAGCCAAUUAUAUGUCACUACCACUCUUCCCAAAAGUUUUCAGCAGAUGCACAAAUUAUGUUAUGUGAUUGUAAAUGCAAUGACUUUGUUGCUCCGCCACCUCAUGCAGAAGUUAGAAGAGACAUAAUAAGUAUUUUCUCCCAGAAAGAGAAUCAACUAACAAAUAAUUGAUAGCUGAUUGGGCAUUAUUCGAGCUUUGUUCAAUCUGAAGAUGGUCAGUGUAGGCAGAUUACAAAUUAUUUGCUGCCUUGUGAAUUCUUCCUUGUAUGGUUGGCACACUGUUGAUUUUAAGUUACCAGGAUCUUUGACAUCUGAAUCUAAGAUCUAAUCAAAUAUACGUCCAAAGAUCAAAUAGAACAUACCCAAGAAUUUGACGAAUCCAACCAAAUUUCUAUUGAUUUUUUGUUUUGGAAUCUGGUAUUUUUGUUGAUGAGAUUUUCCUAUAAAUCAGCGAGCCGACUAAAUGCCCCACGGAGUAACGGCAGUCUCAAAUCCCCAAUUUUCCACCCUGCAAAGCAAAAAAUUCUUCAUCUAUAGAGAGCAUGUUAAACGCCGGUCAAUGUUUCGUAUAGUACCUUAAAAAAAGGGAAAAAGAUAGGAAGUUCAUACGGCAGAUCUGAUCUAUUCAAUAAUUCUGUUUUGUCAUUUGUAAUUUCCAUGUCAUAACAUGUAGCCCGGAAGAUGAACUUCUGCAGCUGGGAUAACAAAUAGAUUGAGUAAUUUGAUGUGAGAUAUGGGCCAUUUGUUACACGAUUAGCUAACCUUUUUUUCUUUUUCUUUUUUUUAUAGCUUUAUGGCCUUUCUGCUCCUAGGGCCUGGUUGCCUUAUAUUUGUAGCUUAAUUCAUCAGCCCAAUAAAUAAAGCGGGUAGCGUGCUAGCUUUUUCUCAGAAAAAAAAAAAAAAACCGUACAUCGUGAAAUAAGAAGGGAGAAAAUUCGAAAGUGUGGUUUGAAUAAUGAGAUGAUAUCUUGGAGAAAACUCAUUAAUUAUUGCGUUCACACAUCCAACCUCAACCUCAACCUCAUCUUCAUACUUUUAUGUAAUAGUGACAUAAACUGCAUCUCUCCAUUGCCUUUCUUAAUCAAACAUUUAAAUAGUUUGCAUCAGUGUGACUUGAAAUGCAGUCUCCUUCUAGAUCCAUCAUUUGCUAAUAUUUAAUUUUGUUCAAGGGUAGUAGGGAGUUACAAGCCCAAUUAUUUACAUACCAUUUUCUUUAUCAAGGACAUAGACAAAUUCCAACAAUAUGACAUACGAAGCCUAUUUGGCCCAGCUGGUUGAGUCCAAAACACAGAUCAUUUGGCGCAUAGUUCGCCGAUAUAUUUUAUUAUUGCGUACCUUCUAUGGAUUCGAGAUGUGACAUCGCAAUUAAAUAUACAAUAAAAAAUUAUUAGUAACUCUUUAGAUAGCUCGAGUUAAUUUAACAUAUAUGUUGCAACCUAACCAAAAAUAAUCAAUCAAUUCUGCAUUUAUUAAAUGAUUGUCUGUUUCACCAAUUUACAUAACAUUUUCAAAUUAAAUGCCAUACAAACCAAUGAAGUAGUUUUUGAACUACUAAACCUACAAAACUUUUUAAAUAUAAAAAUAGAUAUUUAAUAUUUUUAUUUAUAAAAAUAUAAAAUAAUUAUCGAUCGUUCUCAGCGUAAGUGAAUCAUAAGAGUAUUGUUAAUUCGGACCUUAAUUUAAUACAAAUGCAGCGUUUAGGACGGUACGUCCAUUGGAACACGAGGUGGGCUUGGUGGUGGACACGUGGACCACUUAACCUCCCCCCCUCCCUUUGUUUCGAAUACAGAAAAGCACAUACGCACUGGUAGGACAACCAAAGCAUCUUCUAGAUGCUGUUGCGGGCCUACAAGUAGACACUUUUAAUAAAAGUUCGGAUAAAAUUAAUUAAUUCAAAAAUAGAAGAGGUUGAAGACUAAUUAAUUAGGCCUAAUUAUAGAGAAGAGAUCUUAUUAGGCCUAAUUAUAGAGAAGAGAUCUUAUUACCGCAUAAAACGGGUGGAGGGUUCGCGCUGUACCAACUCGACGAGUCAGACCCGCACCCGCCAGCCUUAAUGAUGCGUACUUUGGCAGUUCCGCUUCCGCAUAAACCCGCGCGUGGCCAAAUCUUAGCGGAUCCGUGUGAGGCACGUGACCCGCCAAAUCCUCCAACAGCACCCAUAAAUUUUUAUAUGCGUAUACGACGACGCUCUGAUAAGUCUUACCCAACGAAUGUCGGAUUCUUACCCGCGUACAGCGUAUCGUGCAAGAUUGAACAAAUAUUAAUUUAUUUACUCCCCUCUCCCCUCCUCCGUCCCAUUUUCGUUCCAUUUUAUUUAAUUAUUAUUAUUAUUACUACUUACUAUAAAACGCAAGCGAUCCUAAACCCACUUCUGGAGCUCCUCUGUCCCGAAGAGCUCGGCACAUCUCGAUCGGUUAGCAAUGGCGAAGGACGAAACCCUAACCCUAACCCUAACGGAGAGCGUGCGGGUGAACGGGUCCCCGGCGGUGGCGAGCCUGGGGGCGGAUGGGACUCUGCGGUGGCGCAGCGAGGGCGGGGCGGGGGAGCGGUGUGUGACGUUGGAGAAGGAGGUGUUGGGGCUGGAGGCGGAGGGGAGGACGAUAACUGUUAAGGCCUUCGGCGCGGCGGAGGCGAAGGUCGUCUCCUGCUGCGGCGGAGGAGGCAGCGGCGGCGUGGGCAGGGCGAGGAGGGAUUACGUGCUCGAGAUGCCCUCCGAUGAGUCCGCGGCGCGGUGGAGCGCCAGGUUGAGCGAUCGUAUCAAUUUGCUUGGUAGAAUUCGUCUCCCUAUUUGCUUCUGAUCAGAAUUUUUUUUCUCCUUUUUUUUUGGGUUUAGAAAGGGAUUUAAUCCGAAUUUUGCUCUUUUUACUAUUUAUUUUCCGUUUUAUCCUUUGAUCUUGUGUGAUUAAUUACACAAAGAUAUUUUUUUGGAGGGGGGACCUUCGGAGAAGAACAGUGUACGUUCAUUUAACGGUGGUUGGUGGUCAUAUCUGGCGGUGUCGAGAAAAGUUUUCAGUUUGGUUAAAAAUCAUUAAAAUCUCAACUAUUUUGUCACUGUAGCAUCAAAUUGGGAUGGUGUUAGGUGAAAAUCACAAAAAUCGCGAUUAAUUUACUUUGUUGUUGAUUUGCUAACUACACUAAUGAUUAUCCCUUAAAUUUUCCUUCUAUUUUUAUUUUGAUGCUCUCUAGGUGAUGGUUGUUUUUCUUAUAAAACUGUCCCUAAGGAUUCAUCAAAUGAAAAUGGUAGUUUGUCCUGGAAUGCUCUCUUGUAUUUAAUAGGAUUUAAUUUUGUCGAUAAAAUAAUUCUCCGAAGUUAUGUGCUCACAAAGCACUCACCCAUUCAUCUUAUCAUAACUUGGAAACAUUUUUCCUUUUGCAAUUUAUAAUGAAUUCAUAUCAUUGUUUUUAUCGGUACUAUCUUAAUCAGAUGAUUUCUUUUUACUGGGCCACCUGAUUGUUGAUUAUAAGUUACUCUGUUUUCUCUUUCUCUCCUUGUGUAACAGACCGGCCAAAACGGCUGUUUAUUAUUGUAAAUCCAUUUGGUGGAAAGAGAUGUGGACGAAAAAUUUUCCAAACAGAAGUUAUGCCACUCCUCGAAGCUGCUGGUAUCCUUUUUACCAUGCAAGGUUGGUAAUCUUGCAACCUCUGUCUCUCCGUUUAUGUGUUAUUCUUAGAGCAACCUCUCUCUCUCUCUCUCUCUCUGUAUGUGUUAUUCUUAGUCCUUAUUAGGUUGUUGGUGAGAUAUUAACUUACACUUAUUCUUGAACUUCACUUCCAGAAACAAAGUAUCAGCUCCAUGCACAAGAAAUUGCCCACUCUUUGGAUCUUAUGAAAUAUGAUGGCAUCGUAUGUGUCAGCGGUGAUGGUGUUCUUGUGGAGGUUAGUAAUAUAUAAAUGUAUCCUGCUUGAAAGUUUGUUGACGUUUGAGUUUUGUUUGGAUUAUCUGGUGGAAGUUGACUUUGUUGGAAGCAACACCACCAAUCUGUUCAUUUUGUUAGAAACUUGGGAAAUGAUGCUCCUUAUUUUACAUGUUUACUAUAUGCACUAAUUUUAUGAAAAAUUGUAGAAUAAUGUGACUAACUGUAUGAUGCGGGUUUGAAAGCUGCGAGAGCCUUGUAAUGUGAGAAAUUAUUGUGAUUGUUUUGCUCUGUUUUUCACAUUUCAUGAUCUACCUUUUUUUAGCAGCACCUUGGUAUAGCAUCACUAAAAUUUACUUCAAGUAACCAUCCUUAACUAUGUCUGUUGACAAACAGCAUGGACUUGGCCCAUCCCAGAUUGUUCCGAGCUUGACCACCGAUUGCUUCCGAUUUGAACUAGUGCUUAACUGAGCAUGCUUAGUUGUUUGUGUCAUUUAAAGAUCUUUAUCAUCUUGUACAUUUUAUUGGUCCCUCUUUUUUUCAUUUUCUUCUCUCUCUCUCUCUCUCUCUCUCUCUCCCAAUUUAAUUACGUAUUUUGCAAUUAUAGGUAGUCAAUGGUUUACUGCAAAGGGAAGACUGGGACACUGCAAUAAAGGUCCCGCUUGGGAUUAUUCCAGCUGGUAGGAAUUUUCAACACAUAAUUACUGCUAAGUUGGUAUUUUACAGUUAAUGUUAGUUCAGGACUUCAUAGCAGUGUUCUUAAAGGUGCUAAUAAGCCUGAUUGCAUGAUUUAUGAACUUUUCCAAAUUCCAAGUUCACUGUUUCUAAUCAUGCCAUCCUUUUAUUAAUUCAAGUGGCCUCUGCGUGCAAACCAAGAAAGUGCAUAAGUUUUGUUUUGUAACAAACAACUGGCUUUUAUUAAACCUCAUCAAAGAAAGAAUAAAUAAUCAAAGUGAUAGGCAGAACUCAUGCAGAAUCCUACUUCAUUAGUCAAAUCUUUGCUGUUUCAAGCUCAAGAGUUGAUUUUCGUGUCUCUCCAAUGUAAACUGCUCGCUAGUUUGACCCUAUAUGAACCUACUACUGACCUAUUCAAGCAGGUUCACUGCAGCCAUCCUAUAUUCUAUUAGUUAGCUAGAUUGGCCUGAUUUGACCAAUUCUGUUCCUUUAAUUUGGGGGUAGCCUACUCCACGUUUUUAGGUUUCAAUAGUACUUCUAGUACUCGGAUCUAACUGUGGUUUACUUAUCUAAUAUCUGGAUUUUCCUGACUCUCCUUAUUUAUCCAAAGUCCAUGAAAAAUACUAUUGAAUAAAUAAAUCUCUGACAGUCUUGCAGUUUCAUUACUUGUUUUCAACGUAAAAGGAGAAUUCCCACUUUAAUACUGGAGGGAACAUCUGUAGUUGCUUGAGUAGAUGAGUGAUUAAUACUAACCACUUUGAGAGUUGCAUGCAGAAAUUCUAGGCACUGAUGUAAUGGAACAUGUCAAAAGUUUAUGAUUGCAUUUCCAUAUAUAUCAUUUCCGUAUAUAUAGGCAUCAAUUUUAUUUCUGUUCUGCUGCUUUUUGGAAUAAGAUAUGAUUUGUUUUUAUAUCUUCGCUUUUUCCUCGUUUUUGCAAUUUGUUGUCCUGUUGGUGAAUCCUCUAACCCAUAUUGCUGGAAGAAAAUACUUACACAUGCAUUGCCAUCUGCUGUAUAUGAGCGAGUGUUGUUGUCAAAUGUUAUGCAGGUACAGGGAAUGGCAUGGCAAAAUCACUUUUGCAUUCAGUUGGUGACUUAUACUCGGUACCUAAUGCUGUAUUUGCCAUUAUCCAAGGUCAUAUUUUGCUUCGAGAUGUAAUUUUUUAGUUCAUCCAAAUGCCAAAUGUUCAAAAUGUUGCCAUAUCUUUGUACAGUAUUUCUUUAAAAGACAAUUGCUUUUCUAUCGUACAGGUCACAAGCGCUCUCUUGAUGUUGCUUCUGUUGUGCAAGGAGGAACAAAGUUUUUUAGCGUCUUGAUGCUUACAUGGGGUAUGCAAGAUAGUUGGAGUGACGUAGAUACUUUUAAUGUUGGAGUGACAUAGAUACUUUUAAUCAAAAUAUCUAUAUGAUCAUCCUCUAGAGUUAGUAUACUUAUCAUUUAUCAUUUUGCAGAAAACUUUUGUAUUUUUAUGUUUAAAAUUCAGUUCAUCAAAACACAGGUUUGAUUGCUGAUAUUGAUAUUGAGUCAGAGAAAUAUAGGUGGAUGGGAAGCGCUCGUCUUGACUUUUAUGUAAGCUUCUUAUACGAGGCUUUCUUUACCAUCUCCGUCUCUGUUACUCGUGCCCAUGAUUAUUUGCUCUAAUGUUGUUUCAGUCUCUUCUGCGGAUAAUGAACUUGCGAAAGUACAGUGGGCUUGUUCAGUUUGUGCCUGCACCAGGAUAUGAAGGAUACGGCGAACCAAUAAAGCAAAUUGACUACCACAAGGAUGAAACCACCUGCUCCCAAGAAGGACAAGAAAGUAAUGUCGAAGCCCAAACACAGGGUUACCCAGGCCCUCAGAUUGAUUUUCAAACUACAGAGUGGAGGGCCCUUGAUGGCCCGUUUAUCUCUGUCUGGAUUAACAAUGUGCCUUGGGCCAGUGAAAACGUCAUGCCCGCGCCUGAUGCAAAGGUAAUUUUCCUUUUGUUUUUCAAUUGCAAUGAUUCUUCUCGUUCUGCUUUUGACCUGUCCUCAACUGUCUAUCACAUGUAUUUUUAUCUUCAUAUGUAUUAGUUGCUGUAUUGUGACUAUACUGUAUCAAUAGUUAACAUAAAAUAAUAUGUUGUAUAUAAAUGUUAUAUAUUUCGGAUGAGAUGGUUGAUUUACUUUAUGCUAUAAACAAGGGACAUUAUAAAUGCUACUUUUAUUUGUAUGAGAAAUUUAUGUUAGUCUAGUGCUUGAUGUUUCUUAUGUGCCAUAAGAGUCUCGUCUGCUUUAUUGCAGUUCUCAGAUGGCUACCUUGAUGCGGUCAUAAUCAGAGACUGUCCAAAGUCGGCCCUCUUAGAUCUGAUGUUAAAGAUAAGUGAUGGGAGUUAUGUCAAAUCGCCCUACGUCACGUACCUCAAGGUGAGUACUUUGCUCGACAAGUUAGUUUAUUGUCUCACCACCAUUCUAGUCUGUAAAAUGAAUGAUCUUCUGCAUGAGAUGUUUCUUUGAUCUUUUGAGGGAAAAAAAUCAUACUUUUGCUCAUUAAAAUUUCCUUUCUGGGUAAAAGGGAUAAAAGGGCCUUUUGUUACACUCUGAAUUGGAUGUGUAAGCACUUGUAGCAUUCAGGAGAGGCAGGCUGGCUUUCUGGAACAGUUGAGCUUCUGCCUGUAAUUUCCCUGCAGUAGUUGUCGACCCAGCUUCCAACCAUUUUAACUAUAGUGCAUAGUUAUAUCUGGGAUUGUGGUAUUAAAGUAAGUAGAGCAAAAGAGCAAGUUAAAAACGUGUCAUUUUUAUAUGAAUGUGAGUAUAUUGAAGCCUAAAUAUGAUUAGUGAAUUCGGGAUAACACAGAUGACCUGUGGUGCCAAGGGAGUUACAAAAAAGAAUAUCCAGGCUUGAUGUAAAAGGCAUUAGCCAUGGGUAGAUGGCAGUCAAACAUUCUUCAUAAAUUUUAUACAACUCUAGUGCAACACUAUUUCAUCUAAUUUAAUAGCUGCAGUUGAACCUCAAAUUUGAAUCUUGUGCUACUUUUAAAUUAUCAUAAAAUUUGCAGUGCUUGAACCCCCACUCAAUGUUCUACAGGUGAAGGCUUUUCGCUUGGAGCCAGGUCGGCGGGUGGGGAAUCCUGAUAAGGGCGGCAUCGUCGACUCUGACGGAGAGGUGAUUGCGAGAGGCGACAGAUUUCACGACCGCAGCCAACACGAGAAUCUGAUGGCUUAUGGUCCUCCUAUUCAGAUGACAGUAGAUCGGGGUUUGGCUACCAUAUUCUCUCCUGCUCGAUGAGUCUUCUUUUCCUCUUAUUCUUUACCUUUCGUUCUCUCUGUUAGUUGCUUCAAGUGGGUACUCUAAUGAUCAUGUAUUCCUGUAUGUACAUAACUAAUGGUGAUCAAGAUGCUCGCGUAUUCAAACUGGCCCAAAAACAUCUGUUACGCUAAUAUCCCAAACAAAACCCUUUAAUUCUGACCUCUGAAGGGCACGAAUUUGUGGAACAUGUGCGCGCACUUUUUAAAUGCUUAUUCAGACAUGCACAGUUGGGCGUGAAUGUAGACGCAUGUGAGUGCAGAUAACCUAAAUUUCUUUGCCGGAUCACAAAAAACCAACGAUAUGAUGUGUGGAUGCUUGUAAAGUAGUAGGCCUCAACUUUAUAUUUCUUUAAUGGAAACUUUUUUAUUAUAUUUGUUUGUUAAUUAUCUUAGUCAUUUAUAUCUGCAAUAAAAGUUAGUAUCUUUAUUUGAUAUUAAUUAUUAACCUAAUUAUUAUUAAUAGAAUUGACAUUUGGCUUUUAUUUGAAUGUGUUAUUAGUUAAGAGUCAUAUAACUUUUGAUAGGUAGAAUUUUUGAGUUAGCUGUCUCAAAUAACUGAAAGUAAAUUUAGGGGGGAGAAAAAGAAGUAAAUAAAAAUAAUUAAUUAAAAAGUAAAGCUGAGGAAGCCUACCUCAAAAGACAAUAUAUAUAAUUGAGGUGUCUUCGUGCACUUCCUUGCGAAGAGAGGACAAAAAGUAAGAGUUGCACAGUAGGAAAUCACCAGAUCUCAGAUCUCAGCCGUCCAACUUAACAGUGAUCGGAGGCGAACGAUCCUGAUUAACUAACUGUAGCCUGGGGUAGCGCACCGAGUCAAUACAAUGUUCUUGGACGCAGUUGUCCAACUCAGCAGACAGCUGUCGCACAGUGAUUGGUGGAACUCAUGAACGGUGUUGGUGGCCAUGCAUGGGAUCCGCGUGCCGUGGGCGUGGAAAGCGUGGGACGGUUUAGUUACGUGCCUGCACCACUGCAUGAACGCGACGACGCAUGUAUUAUUAUUACUAUUAUUACUAUUAUUAUUAUUAUUAUUAUUUAUUUAUUUUUAAUACUUUGCGUAAUAAAGGGACAAAGAGAUGGAGAGGCGUUACGUUAGACGUGGACACUGGUAAAGGAGGGUUAAAACUUAAAACACAAGCACAGUUAAAAGCGCGCGUUUCAGUUUUCCUUUUUCAAUUAAUUUCUUUUCCACUUUUUAGAUUUGAAUUAAAUCAACUAUCAAUUUAUUACUACUAGUUAAUUUCAUCAUCCGAAGAUUGUUUAAAAUAGUUUAAAUUAAAUAUAAUUAAAAUAUCAAAAGGUUUCGCCCAAAAGAAGAAUAGUUAAAGCGUGUGUUUCAAAGAUAUCGAAAAGUUCAGGGGGCUCUCUGCUCUCUACACAAUUCUUUUUUUCAAAAAAAAACAAAAAAAUCGUGAAAUGGAUCCGUCGAUUGCUGCCGUUGGUUUAAGAUGAGAUCUGCGCCGUCCAUGUUGCGGAUUAGACGAUCCAAGAGCGCAGAAUCAAUCCCAGCUGGGGCGUCCGCACGGGGAGUUAUGUGGGGAGACUGAGGAAUGCGCAUAGCGUGUGGGUAUUCGUUCGACGAAAACGACGAGGACGGUAAAAAAGUGUCGGUUAAAUGGAGAGAAACGAACGAGCUUUGGGUACGGUCACCGCCGCGGUGAGAAUAAGAUCGGUCUCUGUCUCGCUCACCGCAUCCCACCACGUAUGUACCUAACGCAGCGUUGAACAUGCGCACACGCCAUCUGCAUGGUUUAAUUUGUUAAUGACGUCCAUGUAUUGUCCGGUCCCUUAAGUUAUUAAGCAAAAAAUAUUUACCUUUUGCGUUAACUAAUUGCUCGGUUAUGUUUACGUCGAUGCUUCUUUGCCUUGGCUAAUAUUCGGUAUAUAAAUUCUUUUUUACUAUUUUCAAAUGUAGAGAGCUUAGUGUGAGUGCUUCUAAAUCUGUGACCGUUUAAAAUUAAUCACUUAUUUUUUUAAUUGUUUAUCUCUAUGUGCCUAAAUGACACUUAGGCAGAAGCUUCUCGUUGGAGCUUAUCUGUUAGAUAUUCUUAUAGAUUUACAAUAGAAGUAUUCGCAAUAUAUAUAUAUUCCCAAGAAAACUUUUGCAUAGAAUAAAUGUUAGGGGCUUGACAGAGGAUAAGUGCAAUAAUUAGUACCACAAAAAAUACCUAACUUCAGAGACCUUAAUUAUCUUAGUAUAAGAUACUACUUCCAAUUUAUAUAAAAACACUAUAUUAAUUAGCAUAGUAUUUAUAUUAUAUAUAUUUCUAUAUUAAUUUUUUUAUGUACAUUAACGUAUACAUGUAUACCACGAUAUUUAAGAUAUAUAUACAGGUCGAAGGCCUUUGAAGCCUUCAAACAGCCACUAUAUAAUCAUCAAACUAAGAUAAACAUAAUGAUCAGAUCAAAUAAGCUUAAAAUUAAGAGCAACCAUCGUGCGCUUGCUUAUUUAUAUAUGUAUAAUAGAUAAAAUAGAUCUCCACUAGUUACAAGUCUAAAAUGGCUGUUACUUAGUUUAUAAUGGCUCAUGCGUUCUAAUCUCCCCAAAUCCCUUUUUCAUUUAAUGUUAAAAAAUUUCAGUCUACAUAUAUAUUUUAAAUAUAAGUCUAUGCUAUGAAGGAUCUGUUGAAAUAUUAUAAUAAUUAAGCUCAUAAGUGAUCAUAAAAAAUAUAUAUAUAUAUGUAUAUACAUGCCGAAUAAGAAACAAUUAAUUUGUGCGUGGCUCACAUGUCAUACAUGCAAGAAAAAUUUACAUAUAUAUACGAGAGUUACCUAAUUAAAAAAAAAAAAAAAAACAUGUCUCAUUUCGAGGAAAAAAGAAACUAGAAAAAACGUGUUGCUAUGGUCUUCUCUCAUUAAAUAAGGAAUGGUCACCAAUAUUUGUCGUCACUGAUCCAUCUUAAAGCACGUAAAUAACUUAGUUGUGUUACAUAUCGAGAUCCCCUUAUUCCAAAUAGAAAGGGCAAGUGAAUUAAGUUAGCAUAUAUAAAGCUAAACCUAUUUAUUAAAUUUGGUAAAUUUUAGUCAAUAAAUAAUUAUUUAAAUUUAAUAAUAUUCAUAUAUUUUCCUUAAUAUUAAACUUAGCUGUACUAGCUAGUUACAUCAUCUAGCUAAUCGAAAGAAACUUUUUAACAUUUUCUUUUUAAGGAAGUUGAUAUUAACAAUAUGAGUUAAAACAUUUUAUAUAUAAUAUAUGUGUCUGCACAUGAAGUAACAAAAUUAACUAUGCAGCAUAACUUCUUAAACUGAGACCAUUUCAAAUUUUAUCAGUUUUAAUUUAAUUCAAAGUUUUUUACUAAUAAAAUUAUAUUUUCUCCUAAAACUGAAAGUUUCAUUACCUAUUGUCGACUGAUAAUCGAGGAAAUGGCUAGAGCAUUAAUUAUUUUGAUGAAGUUAUGAUUAAACAUGAACUCAAUAUCUAACUCAUCUGUAAUUUAUCAAAUACAAAAAAUUUACCUAAAUUAAAAAAAAAAUUAGAGGUUAAGAAGAAUUAAAAUAUCAGCACUAUAAUUAAAAUAUACGGACCUAUUUCAAGUUUACAUAAACUUGCAGGGUUCUCAUCCAUUUUCACAGAGUUUACACGAUGUAACCGAUGCGGGUGGUGACCACAUCGCUAGUGAGAGCGUAGCAUAUGGAGGCAGCGACGACGCAUGGACAAACGAAGUCGGGAAACGCCGUUUUAUAUAUCGCGUCUCCAAAACCUUCCCCAAUACCUACCCCAGCACUAAUUACUACCCCUCUUAGUCUCUUAUAUAUAAAUAAAUAAACAUAAUAUUCCUUUCUCUCUUUCUCUCUCUCCUUUUAUAAGCGCCCUCUUAUUGUUGUUUCCACCCACUCUCGAUUGCCAUCCAACUCCCCCCUAAACCCCCAUCCUCUUCCCUCUUCCUCUCUUCGUAGAGGCGACGAGGAAACCCCAAAAGGAGAACCCUUAAUUCCUCUCCCACCUACGUUCCGUGCGAGGGAUCGCGCUUGGCUCCGCCGCCGCCGCCGCCGCCAUGUCGUCGCCGCAGACUCCGGCGGCGGUGGCGGCGCCGCCCAAGAUCUGCUUUAACACCCUCUGCAAGGAGAAAUUGGAGGCGACGUGGAGGAAGGGGUGGCGCCUCCGCUCCGGGAGCUACGCCGACCUCUGUGCACGUUGCUUGUACGCUCUCUCUCUCUCUCUCUCUCUCUCUCUCUCUCUCUCUCUCUCUCUGUAGAGCUCAUAUUCCUGUUCUACGUACUCUUUCUCGUUUUGAUCGUUCGAAUAGAUUGAUGAUUUGGCCUAGCUGCGUCAUUUUGCUUCUUCUCCAUGUGGGAUUCGUCCUUGUUACUCGAUUUGUGCCAUUGAAUUGGUCCACUCGAAGCUAAGAGGCUUUAAAACCCUACUUUCGUGUUUGAAAGUUUAGCGGGCAUUUUUAUGCUCUAUACACUGUAAUUAAUACUUUGUUUUGAGUAGUUUUGUCUCAAAGAUUGCAAAUUGGGAUUUUGGAUGGUUUGUAGGGUGCAAAAUUUUGGUUCUCGAACUGUGAUAAUGGGAGAUAUUUGGAGAAACUUAGAUCUUUUUAUUAUAGUGCACGUGCAUUUAUUAUCGAUCCUUGAGUGGGCCUUUGAUGCUUUCGUGUCUGUGUUUGUGCCCUACUUUUAGUUGCACGUAUGAGCAAGGCAUGUUCUGCGAGACGUUUCAUUCGGAUGUUGCUGGUUGGAGAAACUGCGAGACAUGUGGGAAGGUAAGAGAAGAAUUUCUCCUUUUUAUUUUCAGUUAUAUUCAAUCUUGUAAUAUUAUUAACCAAAUCUCUCUGUGUUUUUCGUCAAUAUAGUUUGUUAAAAAACACUUUGUGUUGGGGCUAUUUGAUUGCGGCAAGAAUUAGUUUUGCUGUAUAAAUACCUGUACUCAAAGAGCUGCUUUAAUUGAGCACAAAAACACCUAAAGAGAUAUAUAGUGAAGCUGCUGUUAGUUGCUAGUUGUUAGUUGUAUACCUUCUCUAACUGUUUCUUCUUUUCUUUUUCCUUUUUUGUUUUUUGUGUUUGCGCGUGCGUGUGUGUUUGUGUGUGUGUGUGCAGAGGGUGCAUUGUGGGUGUAUAGUCUCGUUUCAUACUUACGCACUUCUUGAUACUGGUGGUGUUGACUGCAUAACAUGCGCCAGGAAAUCCUUCGUGCUGGUAAUAUAUAAAAGCGAACUACUUCAGUUAUUAUUGGUUGUAAGCUCUUAUAUUCUUUUACUUGCAUAGUUCUUACAUGUCACUAUUCUCCGUUCACUUAAUUUCUGUUUCAAGCCUUUAUGACUACGUGUUUAAAUUUAAUAAAUUUUUCUCCUUCGACAAUUGUUGGUAUUGAAGCUGCUGCCUUUGAAGGUACCCUUGAUUUUCUUAUCUAGACUAAUAAACAUUCCAUCAAAAUGGUUAUCCUUCUUUUUCCCUUGUUAAUCCAUAUACAAAGUGAAGUCCUUUAGGAGGAAAACACAUUUAAGUUGUUUUUCAUUAGGUUCGCCCAGGGUACUCUUUUCCCCUUUAUUGUAGUCCCUUAUUUCAUUUUUUGGAAGCUUAAAUUUGUACUGAGAAAUUAGGGACGAAUGAUACAAUUGUACAACAUAGAUGAAUAGAACAAAAGGAUUUCUUCUUUUUUUUUAUAGCCAGCCCUUAAUGCAGCGGAUGUAUGUGUCCUUAUGCAGUCUCUUAGAUGUUUCUGCAUAAAAGUUUUCUCUUCAUAGCUUCCUUGACUCCCUUCGCUUCUAAUUCUCAUGCUCUUUUGCAGACACCAAACCAGAUGCUUCACGUAAAAAAUUGGAAACCGCCAACUGGCCCAUUUCCUGGCCAUUGGAUGUGGAAUGCAUCUAGCAAAUUGCAACAGCGGUUGCAAUAUGAGUUUGACAGACCUAGCAAUAUUGAGAAAUCUAUUCCUGGAAUCCGAUCUUCUAUUUCUGCACAAGAGAAGAAAUACGAAGAUCUUCAGGAGAGAAUAACAUCUAGCACCCAAAAUAACCAAAUUAUACGAGAAAGAUAUGCUAAUGGGGAUCCUUCUUUCUCAUGCAAUAUAUAUCAUAGAGAUGAUGGGAAUCCGACUGCAGGGGAAAAUGAUCCUACAUCUAAAGGAUUGAUUUCUGACCCUUGCUUGGGCUCUUCGUCUGGAGUUAACCCCGAAAAACACCCAAAUUUUCUAAAAGAGGAUUCUUCGCCCGUGCUGCUUGGCUUGGCUGCGCAGUUCUCAUCGCCUUCUAAUGGAGGGAAGGACGCACCCAGGGCUGUGCCAGCUCAGCCACAAAGGCAAGUAGCUGCUGCUUCUUCACAGAAGCAGUUUUACUCUCACAAUGCAGUUGAUGUCGAAACUCAAGGCCAGAUCCGGAAUGGAAGGCCUCGGAUGGAUGCAAGGGCGCGUACUCAACUACUUCCUCGAUAUUGGCCUAGAAUUACAGAUCAGGAACUACAACAAAUAACUGGAGAGUAUCCUUUCUUCCUAAGUCAUGAGUAUAACAUUAAUCUGCAUGCAUUGUAUUUGUUAUUCUCUUUUAAAAUAUUUCAUCAGAAUAUCCCCAGCUCGGAUGGAUGGAUUUGUGGUCAAUUAGCGAGCAUAUUUUCUUCCUAAUUUAUCUCAAUUUCUUCUUAACUAUAGUUCUAGUUCAAAUUCCGUCAUCACUCCAUUGUUUGAAAAGAUGCUAAGUGCUAGUGAUGCUGGCCGGAUUGGGCGUCUUGUACUACCAAAGAAAUGUGCUGAGGUUAGUCUUAGGUUUUAUGGGAAUUACAAUAUUACUUUAUUCUAUUUUCCUUCUGUCUUGAAGAUCAAAGAAUUUCUAGAUCGUCUAUACAUAUAUAUAUANAGAAGUUUCAAAUACUCUAGAUCAUAUUUAACGGAGUGGAUCGUCGAUUCGAAAGCUCCAUCAUUGAAAACAACUUAUGAGUACGAGGACUCCAUUACUCAUAAUAGUAUAGUAGCCAUGGCCUAUAUAUAUACAUAUAUAUAUACAUAUAUAUAUAUAUAUAUAUAUAUAUAUAUAUAUAUAUAUAUAUGUGCUCUAGUGUGACAGUAAUUGUGGAUCUAGAGUAACAAAAUUGUAGAGGCAACUGCAGUCUCCAUGGAUGCUUGUGUUCUCCUUUUGCAUCUUUCAACCAGGAUGUUUGACUUUGUUUUUUAGUAUUUUGGAAGAAACAGUUACUUUCUAGUUAUGUUGUUUCUGUUUUCUGGAGAGUGAAAUUUCUAUUCAUUUACAAGUAGCUGUUGGUGUAGACUAAGCUUUAUUUAUCUGUCUACCUGAUAAAUCACCGAGUGUGGAUGUUGGGCCGAUAUUUCAUUAUGUUAUUAUAUUGUGGCAGUUGCAGAAGUGUAAUUUUCUUCUCAGUACAGAGCUUGACCUUUCUUUUUGGAGGCUUGAAAUUAAUUUAUUGUUUUAAAAUACGUAUACUAUUACAUUUCUAGAACCACCCUUUUGGCUAUUCAAACUUCUAAUUGAAUUCUUUCUUCUGAACCAAGGGUUAGAAAAAUGCAUUCUAACUGAUAGAAAUAAAUUUUCAUGAAAGAAUGCUUGUGAUUGUACAGGCAUACUUUCCCGCAAUAAAUCAGCCGGAAGGCCUUCCUUUGAAAGUCCAGGAUGCAAGUGGCAAGGAAUGGGUAUUUCAGUUUCGUUACUGGCCUAACAAUAAUAGCAGAAUGUAUGUCUUGGAAGGUGUUACACCUUGUAUUCAGUCAAUGCAGUUGCAAGCUGGUGAUACAGGUUUCUCUCUCUCUCUCUCUCUCUCUCUCUCUCUCUCUCAUAUGCAAACAUGCUCACCUACAAAGUUAUGCUAUAGCUCCCAACCUUUGAAGCCUUACUUUGUUCCAUGAUGCUUUUACGGCAUAACUUAUCUGUUGUUGGUAGAAAAUUAUCUUGCUAUGUAUUGUACCUACAUGUUUCUAAGUUUUUCCCACUUAACCUUGUCAUUUGCUGAUUUACAAUUUAUGUCUCUAACAUUAUCUUGUUACUGUAAUUAGACUAUUAUUUUUUUCAUGCCCAGUUUCUCUUGUUUUUGACAACUAGCAUUUGCUUGAAGGUUAAUGUUAACAAGUGCAGAGAAGCUAAUAGCUUUAGUUUGUUUUUUAUUUCUUUUGAACUGUCAAAUAUAAUUAUACACUGGGAUUUGAGUGUUUCCUUUUCCUUCGUGAUUGGCAGUAACGUUCAGCCGAAUUGAUCCAGAAGGAAAGCUGGUCAUGGGAUUUAGAAAGGCCUCUAGUAUCUCAGCAGAACAGGUUCGUAUCAAAUUUAUAAAUAUGUUAUUACAUUGCAUUUGUUACUACUUUCUAAGCUACUCAACAGUUGAUGACACGAUUAAUGCUUUUGUGUGUGGAGUAUACAUGCUUUUUUUUUUUUUUUGUUUUUUUUGCUAUUGAAUCUGUUAUAUGUGGAUCAAAAUCUGCUUAUGUGGAGACAAAAUCUACUAGUGCAAUUGAAAUAAUUAUUGAAAUAUCAAAUCCAAUAUCUAGGUCGAUGACGUAUUUCUAAAUUUUAGAUGAUGGUUGUUAAUUACAGAGUUGAAGUUCAAGCUAUUUCUCCUCAUCAAUCUAUGCUCUUAUCUGAAAACCACUCGAAUGUUAUUAACAAUGUCACAUAGGAUAUAUUGGUUAGGAAGGUGUGCUUGAGUUAGAGGUACAAUUGGUGCUUUUAGUCGUAGUACUAUGGCAAUGUGUUAGACACCUUUUUUUUUUUGUUUCUUUGUAUUAAUGUUAUCUUGUUUAUAUUUGCUAUUAGGUAUGAUUUCCUUCUCUUAUCAAUUUGCAGAAGUAUGGCCUCCUAGUUAGAUUUUACUCCAUUAUUGCUAAGAAUGCACUGUGAAAAGAUGAAGUAGGCCUUUCUCAUUUGAGGAUUUCCUUUUUAAUAAAAAAUUUACAUGGGCAGGACGCUCAAACUGUUAAGUCUGGUCCAGAGGGUGGGAAUGAAAGCACUGGUGUGGACUCAAAUGCAAACAUCCCUCUUCGACCACCUAAAGGCAUUAUAGAAUCAAGAAAUCCUAGUAGUCAUGGAGACCAGGCAACCUUGCCUAAGUUUGACAAAGGAGGAUUUAUACAAAAGGAUGGACCUCUCGGAAAGUCUUCACAUGGCCCUAGUAAAAGGAAAGGAAGCUCACUUGGUUCAAAGAGUAAACGUCUAAGGAUUGAAAAUGAGGACUCGAUGGAGUUGAAAUUGUCAUGGGAAGAGGCUCAAGAACUGCUCCGUCCACCUCCUAACUCUGUUCCUUCUGUUGUUGUCAUUGAAGGCCAUGAAUUUGAGGAAUUCGAGGUAUGUCACUCUGCUAUUUUCAUUUCACUAAGGCUUUAGAAUGAUUUCUUGUAAUAGACAUGUCAAUCUCAUAUUAUCUAAAUAGAUAAGGGUAGGUUUUUUGGGAGUUUUUGUUCUAGGCUGGUUAUCCAAGCUUCUUUAACAAUCUUUUAUCUAUUUGAUGUGCAAAAGUAAUUUGUUGCGAGUUAUACAAAGAUAUAUCUAUUUUAUUUUAUGCGAUGGGUAUAAGAAAAGGAUAUCUUUUUUUCAAGUUACAGUAGGGGGAUAAUUUUCUGGUUAAAUAUCUAGUCGGUUGCUCAGAUGUAUGAAGCACGUCAUGAGUAGAAGAACAAAAAUACAAUCCAUUCUCACUUCAAAAUAUUGUGGUGCUUGUGGUAAUAGGUGUUGAAUAAGGACUUCUGCUGCUAGCUUUCAAGCAAGCCAUAGGUCAACUUGGAAAGCUCCAAGUACCCUUUUUUUGUUGACAUCAGAUCAAUACAUGUUUGAUUAUUUUUUAGUUCAAUAUUUUGUUAUACAUGUUGAUAUUUGAUUGCCUUAUUGUUUAUUUUUUUUUCGAUUUCCAGUGGAAGUUUCUCUACUCGAUAUUCAUAGGUAAACCUGUUGAGGUGAAAAGAAACUUGAAUUAGCUGAUAAUCUUUCUUAAUUUUCUUUACUUUUGCUAGAUAGUAUGUAUUGUUUUCUUUGCACGUUAAUGCACUUUACUGAGGACGGGAAGCUAAACUGUCAAUAUUAAACGUAACUAGUGUAAUGUGAGCCGUCUUGCCUUGAAAAUAUAUUCAGAUAUCGUUAUGUUUAACUAGACGGUGCCCCCAUUUCUUUGGCCUAGUAAUUCGAUGUCUAAAUUCUAUCACUGGUCAUUAUUGGUAAUUGCAAUAUUCUUCUUAUAUUUUUCUUUGGAUAUUUCUGUACGUGCAAUUGUUUGAGUAAAUAGCAAAUCUACUUGUUAUGUUAUGUUGACAUUGAUAUCAUGAACAGGAAGCACCAGUGCUUGGAAAGAGGACGUAUUUUAUUACAAACCUAGUCGGGUAACCUCUACAUCCAUAACUUUUAAACUAGAAAACUCUAUUACAAGGUUGCAUGCUAAUGAGGAAUAUUUUGUUACAAUUGAGGAAUAUUUUUGUUUUUUUUUUUGUAUCAAAUUCUAUAAGAAAAUUUUGACAAAAACAAUUCAUUUUUAUGUGUGCUAACAAAGAAACUGUUGUUCAUCAGUGAUAGUCAUCAAUGGGCUCAGUGUGAGGAAUGUUCAAAGUGGAGGAAGCUGCCUGUAGAUGCGCUUCUGCCUUAUAGAUUUCUAUGUUCUGACAACAAAUGGGAACCUGAAAGGUGAACUGGGAUUUUGACUGUCAAAUAUGAAUUCUGUUCACACCUUGUCGCUAAUACGUGUUCCAAAAAUAGCUAUUCUUGUUUUUCAAUGAUUAAGUUUAUGCAAAACAGAUGUUCCAUGUCGAUAGAGGUGCCAUUUUAUGGUAGAACUCUUCAUGCUUUUCUGAAAUUGUUGCAGCAUGAUGUGACUAGUGGCAAAUUAGACAUUUUUGCUUUUAUGCAUCCAUGUGAUGCUCAUUUUCUUACCCUUUUCCAUUCAAAACUCACGUGUUCUUUCUCUGUAUUUAUAGGUCCUCAUGUUUAUCUGCGCAGGAGUUAAGCCUGGAGCAGCUAGCCGAACUGAUUCCUACUAAAAGUGGUACAUUACACUUCAUGCCUCUUUAUUCUAUUCUGUCUAACUAGUUCAUUGUUUUUUGUACAACAAUCCCUUUGUUGCUUCACUGGUGGAUAGUCUGUGAACAAAAAUGCUGGGAUGAGUGUUUCGCUGCUAAUAGGAAGAAGGGGAAUAACUAAAACUGCCAUCUAUUUGAAGAAGGAAUAUUGAUAUAGGAUUUUUUUUCUUUUUUAAUUAAGUGGCAUUACAAUACUGGCCUGGUCUAGUGAUGCCGAAGCCUUAGAAUUUAAAGUGUGCAUAUUAAGUCGGUAAGAAACAAAAAAUAAAAGUGAUUCAUAUUAGAAUUGCAGCAGCAACAAGUCUAUACAGUUGCAUAAAAACCAUGUUUAUUGAUUAUAUGGUACCGUCAUGUGGUAGCUAUUGUAAGCAGAAUUUACUUACUUGGUUAUGGAUCUAUGGUAGUCGUGAAAGGUUUUGUUUGAGAACUGAAUAGUCUGCACUCUGAGCCAAACUCUUAGAGGCACUAUAUGUUGGACUUGUUUAAGAAGAAUUUUCCUAAAUGAGUGAUAUGUAACCGUGGAAAUGGGCCAGAAUGCUAGACCACUCAUUGCUUGUUUAAAAUAUUGUUGGGAGCGUCCAAGUUGGUUAAUAACCUGGUUAUGAAGAGUUAACAGCAGUGUGAAAUGAGAUGGAAAAUGGCCUGUCGAUUUCCGGAGAAUAUGUUGAAUUGUAAUUCCUUUUACGGCGAAGGUGAUUAUGUUUAACCAAAUAUAUUUCUGCUACUUAUUUUUUAAUCACACUGCCUUCUGGGGAUUGGUACAAUGUUCCAUUUCGGUAUUUGAGUUUGGGAAAUAAGUCAACAUUCUUUUUGCAUGUAGGGGAAGGCUGUGAGGAAGCCCUUAUGCAGCAUGUUAUUGAAGUAGUAAGGAGCUUAUAGUAACAUCAAUUCCUUUGCGAACUUGCAGGACCUUCGAGAAGGCCUAAAGUGAAGGUAGAAGCCGAGAACAUUGAAGUUUCCGACGGGCUCGACACGCUGGCCAACCUGGCCAUUCUGGGGGAGGCAGAAGCGGCUUUUCCGAGCAGCUCAUCUGCCUCGCAGCAGCCGACUACAAAGCAUCCGCGGCACCGACCUGGGUGUACGUGCAUCGUGUGCAUCCAACCCCCAAGUGGGAAGGGCCCAAAGCACAAGCAGACCUGCACCUGCAACGUCUGCUUAACAGUGAAGCGUCGCUUCCGGACCCUCAUGCUCCGGCGUGAGAAGCGCCAGGAGGCAGAGACCGCUCGCAAGCAGCAGAUGCAGAAAGAGCUGCAGCAGCAGCUUCUCCCUCCAGCCACUGGCGUGUUGCUGCCACAGCCCUUAGGGCAUGAUCCUUCAUCAACUGGUAGCAUUAUUAACACCAACGGUAAUGGCAAUGGCGACGGCAACAGCGUCUCCCCUAAGAAAGUUGUUAUGAGUAAUGAAGGUCUUGCCGAUGAGGUCUUGGAGCAUAAGAAGGUGAUGGUGCCGUUAUCCUCUCCUCUUAAGGCCCAGAUUGAUUUGAACAUACAGCCGGAGAGGGAGGAGGAGUCGUCGCCGAAAUCGGAUGCUUUAGGCAUUAUGAAACUUAUACGGGAUCCUGCCGCUUAAGACUGUUCUACGUGGCCUUGAAACAGGAUACUAGGCUUCGGGCACACCUUGAAAUAGGAUACUCAGGCUUCGGGCAUACUAUAGUUUCCUGCUACCAUCCUCCAUGUUUGAGGUUUUAGUCGGAGAAUGGUGGAGAUGGUUGGCCUUACAUGGAUUCUCUUCUUGUUAUUUAACCUCCUGUUGUUAUGUUCAUUUAAUUGGGAAGAUUGCUUAAGGUUUCUGUGAGUCCAGCUUGUGUAAGAGACAGCUAGUAUCAGGCUUUCUGAAUUUCACAUGAUAAUUAUGAUAAUUAAUGGCUGGAUGAUUAUAUGUGGAAACUUGAUGUGUAAUUUUGUAAUAGGCUUAUAUAACAAAUUUGUUUUGAUCAGUAUUUGAACUUUGGUUUCUGUAGAUGCUACAGCUGGGCUCUACUUUUUGCUAGCUGAAGUUGGAAUUCCUUUCUCUUCCUCUUCCUCUUCCAUGCACGGAAGGAGAAUUUUCUGCUCCACCCUGAUAGAAAGGGCGAACUCUUGUCAGUUUUACUUUUCGUAAGCAGCUCUCAUAUUAUCCCAGUUGGGCCCCCAACAUUGUCGUGUGCAUUCAAUUAAGCUCGUUCUGUUAAAGUAACCUGAUAAUGAAAAUAGAAAGGGCCACGUGACAAAAUUGAAAGGAGGUACUUGCUUAGAAACAAAUAAUAAUAAUAAUAAUAAUAAUAAUUAUUAUUAUUAUUAUUAAAAAUUUAAUUAAAUAAAAAAAAAUAAAAGUUUAGAUGUUAAGUGAAAGAUUUAGUAAAGAAGAAAGCGACACAGGGAGAGAGGCACCGCGCGAGGUGCGAGAUUGUCGCACAGGUUGGACUAAACCCCUCAAGACUGAAAACUUUCUACUUUGGGUAAGUUACGAGACACGCCAAAAACGACUUUACCCGAAAUAGAAAGUUUCCAUUUUUUGACAAGAAGUUGCUGGGCCUGACGUUAAAUGGGCCUUACGAGCUGCUGAGAAAAAUCUGAACGGGCCGAAAUGUAAAAACUGGGCCUCACCGAAGUUGGUGUGGACAUUGAUUUAGAAGGCCGGGCUGGGACAAAUCCCAGCCCAAAAUGGCACGGCCAGAUUAAAUUCCGAAAUCUACUCGGGCUAAUGGAAACAGUUGCGAGGCCGUUCCUUGGCCCAUUUGGUCCAUAAGUUCGCACCGCUCCUAGUGUUGCCAUUAGCCCGAGCAGAUUUAGGAAUUAAAACGGGCCGUGCCAUUUUGGGCUGGGAUUUGUCCCAACCCGUCCUUCUAAAUAGAUGUCUACUCUGACUUCGGUUAGGCCCAGUUUUUUAGAUCUCGGCCCGCUAAGAAUUUGCUCAGUCCCUCGUAAGGCCCAUUUAACGUCAGGCCGGAAACUUUCUAUUUCGGGUAAAGUCGUUUUUGGCGUGUCUCGUAACUUGCCCAAAAUAGAAAGUUUUCAUUUUCGACCGGAAAUUUAAUCAGUCGCAGCAGGGGAACUCACAUCCUCAAUGCUUGCUCAUGUUGUCACCCACCGUUAUCUACCGUAUUAUUUAGGGAUACAUAUCUGUGGUACUACUAAAUUGGAAAACUACGCAAAUCACGAAAAUAUAUGGGUUUUUUUUUUUUUUUUCUUUUGAAAAAUCUUUUUACACCAAGCAAAUAGCGUAUGUAUGGAUAGUCCUUGUACCACCCGAUGUUGCAACUUGGUCCUACUACUUUUUGCUUUUCAAGUUUGACAUAUAUUGCGAUAUAGUCCGUGAAGAAUAAAAGUCUUGUAAGAUGUCCUUUCUAAUCAUGUUCGGAUUAAAGUUAUGCAAAAAAAAAAAUAAAAUCAUAAUUCUUGAAAAUGAGAGAACAUUUUUGACAACUAUAGACCAAAAGUAAAGGUAAAAGUUUUUAAACUUUAAAAGUUAAAAAGUACAGAAACCAACUUGAAGUAACAGGAUAGUGCACACACAUUUUAGUCAGCACUAUAUGAUAUGAAAAAUUGCACGUAAAAUAUGAAGACGAUGCUUUUAAGAACCGUAAUGCCAAACUAGGACUAGGCCUAAGUAAGUUAUUGAUUUGGACUUUCAAAAUCAGAGUACUAUGUGAUCCGAUAAGAGCGUGUGGCUAUCUAAAAUUUGUAAAGCUAAACUAUUCAUUGCAGUGUCCUGUAAAACAGAUUCUGGGUUCUCGCUAAUUAGUAAUAAACCUGUUGUAUCAGUAUCACAACAACCUUCUCACAAAAACGUCGUGCAUGGCGAAACCUCGAACACAUCGACAGCCGGCAAGAUCUCCUCUCGUGCCACGUGGCUCUCCUCCGUUAGCCACCCCCAACGAAAAAUUCAAAAUAAGCCAAAGGCGCUAUACUAAACCACCUCUACAGCAAAGGUUAUUCCUGCAGGCCCCGUUGUCCUAAUCUUCUCCGUCACUCUAGAAGCAGAGUGUGCGUGAGAGAGAGAGAGAGAGAGAGAGAGAGAGAGAGAUAUGGAGGCAAGGCAUGCGCCAUGGAGAACGCCGCCUCGCCAGGUGUCGUCACGCUUCCUUGUCACCUCUCCGGCCUCCUCUCCCGCAUCCUCGCCCCGCAAUCACCACCGCUCCUCCUCUUCCUCCUUCUCCAGCACCAACACCAGCACCAGCACCAGCACUAGCACUAGCACUAGCACCCUCUCUCGCAGCCUCUGGCCCUCCUCUAAGAAGCAACCCACCACCCUCGCUGAUCACCUCGACAAAGACCGAAAUUCACUCUUCUCAGACCGCAACAACUCUGCCCCACCACCAGAACCACUCUUCCGCCAUAAGAGCUGCUCAAACUACAACAGCCAAUUUGAAACGGACAAUCACUACAAGAACGAGAAGAAGAUCGCAAGAUCAGCGUCCAAGGGCGGAUCCACGCGUUACAUCAGCAAUAAGAUCCCAUCAUACAGAUCCUCCAGUCCUCCCCGUGAUGUAACCCUAACUCCCGGACGGAUCAUUUCAAAUCCUCACCAUAAUAUAACGCUAACUCCCGGACGGAUCAUUGAUAAUGCCGUCGGGCGCGACUAUGCAAGCUCCGAAUCUGAGCGCCGCGAGACAGCCAACGUAUCAACUGCAAGGUCUGUCAAGUCGUCGGCGCUCAUGAGGGCGAGAUCGGUUGGACAGGCAACGACAAUGCAGUGGGCACCAUCACCAGGCCUGCGGCCCCCCUCACCUCCAGCGGUCAAUGCGACGGCAGCAGCGGGAAAGGUUUUGUCAAGCCUGCGACCACCAAGCCCGGCAAAGGGGAGGAAGGUUGGAAGCUUGAUAAGCUUGGGGUUGGACCAUCUCUUCAAGAGGAAGUCGAGUUCGGCACAUGUAGCAGGGGAAGCGGGGUAUCAGCUUAGGAUGAUGAACAACCGUCUGAUCCAGUGGAGAUUCAUCAACGCGAAAUCAGACGCCGUCAAUCAAGUCAAGCUCGCCAGUGCCCAGGUGCGUGACGAUUUCCUUUAUCCCACCUAAAUGGAAAUCAGGAAAUAUUAUUGGCAGCAACAAAUUUUCUCCUACAUCCCCUGUGCGCUGAAUCCUCCCAUCCACUCAUUUCAUCUCCUAUUUCAACAAACCAUCCAUGAAAAAUUGAGCCUCAAAAACCAUCUACAGAUGUUUGAUUGCCGACAUAGUCAGUACAGGAUGUUAAAGUGAUGAACACCUUUUCAUUUGCAACAAAAAUUGAGCAAGGAUACUGUGCAGGCGCAGCUGCUGAGCGCAUGGGCCAGAAUCUCAGAGCUACAGAGGAGGGAGGCGCACAAAAGGGUGCAGCUGCACAAGGAGAAGCUCCAUCUUAAGCUUCGCUCCAUUCUCUCUUCCCAGGUCAGUCAAAUGGUCCCUACCAUACCACCUAAUAAUGAUAUCACAUACCUUCCCUCUUCCUUGUAUGUAAUUAGUGCUGGUGUAAAGAAAACUACAUAUCAAAUAACAUCUCUGCUUACCCAAGGUCAAUUUAAUAAGAAAAGCAAACAAACGAAAUGAAAAACAACAGCGUAGACAACAAUAACGGCACAAGCAGUAUCAAUUAAUGGCGGUGGCAACAGUGGCAGUGACAUGUGUACAUACAUAAUGGUGACAGAUGAAGGGACUGGAAGGAUGGGGGGCCAUGGAGAGGCAGCACGCAUCAGCCCUCUCGACCACCAGCGACCGACUGCAGGCUGCAGUCUCCAAGGCGCCUCUUACUGAUGGAGCUACGGUAUGUUGUCGACUCACCUCCAAACUCUGUAUUGUAGAGAAUGUAUGCUGAUACUAACCUAGCUAGUAUUACGGUUGACAGAGAAAUACAUUGAGACCUAGUCACUACUAUUCACUAUCUGAUCUAUACUAGUAAUCAUAACUCUAUUAUUGUCAUCUAGCAAAACCUUAAUUACUGAACCAGUUGACAAAUACUUUGUAGGCGGACCUAAAGCCUCUCUCCUCAACACUUCGACAAGCGAUGGAUCAUACUGGCACCAUCCAGACUGCAAUGAAUGGAUUCAUACAAACAGUAAGUAACAUUUUAGCACAAUUAAGAUCUUGUUUGUUUUGCUCUACAAGAUGCCAAGAAGCACAGAUCGACGUGCUGUCAGAUCAACUCACACUCGACGGUUUUCUGACGCACAUUCUGACCUGAAUGAAUCUAGAUUGUAAAACCUGCUUGGCAUUUGUAUUACUACUAACAAACUGAGCUGCUAACGUAAUGUGGUUAAAGGCUCAGAAAAUAGCACCAAUGUUACUGGAUCUCACACGGGUGGUUAGCAGCGAGCAAGCUCUUCUAGAGGAAUGCUAUGAACUUCUAGGUUUCGCUUCCACACUACAAGUAACAGCUCAUCCAUCCUAUCAAUUCUUCUAGAAAAUAUAAAUAAAUCUACCACCAAAAUGGUCUUUGUGCAAUAUAUGUAAACAAUAAUUCAUGGAAUUUUGCAGAUGGAAGAGCAAAGCUUGAGGUGCCAUGUAAUCCAACUAUACAAUAAGAGACUGGGAAAAGGCUAAUGCUAUGAUCCAAGACGAAGAACAAUCCUACAACAUUAUGCUUGAGGAAGAUAAUGCUCUCCUCUGGCAAACCAAGCAUCAGACCAAGCUUUUGCGGUACUAAUAGAACAUGCAUGCCAAGUGGGUAGAGGGAAAUCAUUAACCAAAGAAAAUCAGACACUUUCAGCUCUUUUCAAAAGGAUUAAAUCAACUCCAAAGAAGGAAAUCAGACAGGGAAGGCAAACGUGUAAUAUAACACUAUUUAUAUUGAUCACAUGAGUACUCAAAACUAACCAAAGGAGUUAUGCAAUGCAUAUUAUUCACUGAUAAUUUAUGCUUUCUUUGGAGAGAAAAACAAUAGUACUCAGGAUUACUAGAUGAAUUUUGACAUUAAGUAUAGAAAAAUAUCCUCCUCAGCUAAUCAACAAUCGUAUACAGACUGAAUCUACUCUAAAGCUUCUAUUACAAUCAGUUAAUGAUUAACUAUAUGUCAGAGUUACAAAUAUGCAUAGUUCUACGAAUGCACCCUUUAAUAAGCAAAGAUCCUGGUUAUCUUCAAUCUAAAACAGGUGCUGAAACAAAGCCAGGCAUGCUAAUUCCUCACAAAAUUUAAUAUCUACUACACUAAUUUUUGUAAUUUUUAGAUGUAGCUACAGAAUCAUUUUCUUCACCUAAUUUGGUUGUUCCAUUGCUCUGAGAUUGCACUUCUAGCUCCUUAGACUCAGAAAAAAUCCUGAAUACUAUAACUUCACCAGAUAUUUAUUUGGCAAUUGCGAGAAGUUAAACUAGCAAAGUGAGAGGGACAAUUAGGAGGCGGGGGAAAAAAUCCACCAAUGCAAAAUGCAAACUACUAGAACCAGUCGAAUACUCACCCAUGUUUAAGCUACCAGCGUCUAACUCCGCAACUAAAAUAGCAGUAUUCCGUUAAAGAAUCGAAUCAGCAACAUCGGACAACACUCCCUUCAAUUCAAUUGAUUACCUUCCAAAGGGGCAGGCAGACCAAUCACCACAGAUUUGAAAAGGUUAUCCUGAUUAUAGAGAUCGGGAAAUACACAAUGAUCUCAAUAGGAAAAAUAACAACCUUGUGAUGAGCACAUUUUCUAUCAUCAUCAAAAUAACAAUCUUUCAACACGACAAAAACCAAUCUGUAAGUCAUAUUAUUCCAAGAAAAUAUCACACAACAGAAAGCACACUUUCUGAUGUUAAUCUGCUUAUUGUUCAAUAUUUCUUCUGAAAAAGAAAAACACAAGCUUCUUACUUAAUUUUAGCAUUGUGGCCUAGAUGCAGACAUACGGACAAAAUGAUGAUUCACAUAAUGGCAUCUAACUCUACGUAUUGCCAAAAAGAAGGCUGUAAGAUAGAAUUCAAAACAAUAAGGCUACUUGAUUAGGCGGUGUAACAAUUUGGAUUACAUGGCACUAAUUAUGGACAUGACUUGAUAACGCACCACAACUGCUAUUCAAAUUACGGAAAUUCAAAAUCAACACAACCAAAACCAUCUAACUAAAGAAUAAUAUGGCAUGACGUGAUUAUCAGAUAAUUUUAACUAUUUCAACAAUAAAGUCAAGUUAAAAAUAUUAAGACACAAUCUCCUAAUUGUUGGACACAAUCACUAUCCUUGGACCUCAACUUAGUUUUCCAUAACCCGAACUCCAAAAAUAUAAAUGAGACUCAACUUUUUAGUACCACCAUCCUACAGUCAUUGUGUAUCUUUCAAAGAUUGCAAUUUCUAUAGCAAAUGGACCCAAUCAGGAAGAGGAAUCUAUAAAAUUUUGGAGAAAUCUCAAAAUAUCUCCGUUAUCUGUGGAAGAUUACCAUAUGCUUCCUUGUUAGUUAGUGCACUCUCUCUGUGCAUACACUCUCCGCAUUAACAAUGUUUGUACCUGUGAUUCUGUACAAAAUUUGGUAUACUAAACAAUCCAAGCACCAACUCACGCACACUCAAAAUCAACAAAUUAGAGAACAAAAUCUAGACAUGAAUGAAUAAAAUCGGUUUCCCUUGAUUACAAUGCAAUGAAGAAUUUAGCCUAUAUUGGCAUACUGUUUACUGGGCAGUCCUCCUUGUAACACCAUAUGUGAAUCCCAAAUAGACCGGCUGGAGUGCAACAGUAAAGAACCAAUGUGCAGAAAAAGGUUCUUUUGUUUUGCUGAAUAAUAGAAGUUAGAGGUGGGUUAAAAUCAAACGCAGCAAACACUUUAAGUUCAUCAGAUGUAUAAAUUAACCUGAUAACUAACACAAAACGAAUAUAUUUUCUUUUUAUUCCGGGAUCUAUCAUUCCAGCAACCCUUCUAAACCCGCUAAAACAGCACAAAUCUAUUAUCUACAAAUCAGAGCGCAUCAUCAUAAAUCAUAAAGAGCAGUUUGCGUGCGGCAAAUUAUUAGGUCACAUCUGAUCAAUAGCAGCAAAAGCAGCAGGUCUUUUAUUUACAACACCGAAACAAAGACGAAAGACCGGACGGAAUUAACUAAUGAUGAUACAAGAGAGGUGGGGGGAAAGGAAAGGACCUAAGACAGGCGCCGGCGCGGGAGAAUAGCAAGAGAGGGAUCAGGAUCCGGCGCUGGGCAGGGCGGCCAUGAAGGCGUUGUAGGAGGAGUCGAGAUCGAAGUGGAGCUGCCUGGACUGCUGUUCGGUGAGCUCGUCGGCGGCGCCCAUCUUGGCAAGCCUGGCGAGCCACUCCCUGACCUUGACCUUGCCCUCGAAGUCGGGGGGCAGGAUGGCGCCGAGCUUGGCGAAGGAGGCGGAGAGGUCGGAGAGGAGGGGGUGGACCUGGUCGACGGCGACCAUGUUGAGCUUGACGGCGUCCAUGGCGGUGAUGAAGUGCUGGACGCACUGGGCGAUGGCGGAGGCGGAGGAGGCGGCGGCGGAGGCGGAGGCGGAGGAGGCGGAGGCGCGGUGUUCGACGGUGGCGGGGACGCCGGAGACGAGGAGGCGGUUGAGGGCGGCGGGGCAGUCCAUCUUGUAGGCGUCGGCGAAGCGGUCGACGGAGGGGACGGCGUCGCGGAGGGACGAGGACAGCGUCUUGAACUGGGCGAUCAGCUUCAGGCACUCCGCCUCGUACUCCGUGGACGACACCAGGUCCCGCACGUACGCCUUCUCCAGCUUCUCCGUCGUCUUUAUGAUGGCGUAGAGAUCGGCGAGGCUGUCCAGGAGCUCCCGCUCCCGCUUGUCGUGCCACAGCUUCACCUCCAUCGCCUUCGCCUUCGCUACCGCUACCUCCGGGAGAUCGAGUUGGAGAUCGGGCUAGGGCUAGGGCUAGGGCUAGGGUUAGGGAUUUUAGGGUUUCGUCGGAGGAUCUUAUAAGAUUACGACAACGAUAGAGCUCUCCUGUGGGUGGCUUGGCUUCGAUCCGAUCGUCGUCGUCGUCGUCGUCGGAGAGAGAGAGAGAGAGAGAGAGAGAGCUAUUUGAGUUUAUAGAGGCUCAGCAUAUAUUCGAAAUGGAGAGGAAGGAGAGGGGAUGCCUAUGGCGCAGGGCUUCUCCGAAGGAAGCGACGGGAGAGGGUAGGCUAUGGCGUAUUGCUUCGCAUUUGAUCGAGUCAAAUCUCAUCACGCUUUAAAGCGUAAACCAGUGCCGCUUAAAUGGGCUGGAUUGUUUUAGAACGGGCUUCAAGCCAGAACUACGCAAACCCGACCAACCAGGAGAGGCAUAGCCCAAGACACUUAUAAGCUUUAACUUUUCGAAAACUUAUAAGACCCACAGGCCAAGACUAUAGACUUAGAUCUUAUUGGACUGUAGCCCAAAUAAAGCAAGCUCAACUUUAGGCCUGGUGCACAUAUCCUAGAAAGGGAACGAUGGCCCCGGUAACGGUAAUACAAGUCCGAGAAGUAAAAAGCCAAACUAGUGACCAAAUUAACCAUGAAUGAAACACAGACCACCCCUACUCCAAGCUUGUUGUGGAAAGCUAAACAAAUCAACGAAUGAAAAAAAAAAUAUCCGACAUAACAACAAAAGAUUACAACCAAAGAAACCAAACACACCAAAAUUCUCCGAUCGAGUCCCAAAGAAGGGGAGUAGUUAUACAAUAUAACACACAUCGACUCUUUCUCCUCAUGUAUAUGUAUGAUCUUUCUCCUUUCACCCAGGGCAGCUGUGCUAUCUAAAUAUAUCCGAUCAAGUUUCACCAUUCUGCUUCAUUAAUUUAUUACUUAAUUAACCGGUUAAUUAAUUAAUUGGUGGUUCGGUUGCUGUUGAUCAUGUCCAUGUAUUGCUUGAAGGACUCCUGGCGCUGCAGCCGCAUCUCCUCGUUGAACUUGUUAAUGAAGGCCUCCACGCGCCGGUUGAGCUCGUCCUGCCCCAGCGAGGCCUCCCCCCUCCUCAGCCUCCCCCCCGACCCCCGCGACGGGGACGGGGACGGGGACGGCGCCCUCCUCGUCCGCUCCUGGAAAGUCUCCGACUUCCGCAUCGCCGCCGCCGCCGCCGGAUCGUCGGCGGAUGCGCGGGGGCGCGCGUCCCACGUGUCUGCCUUCUUGAGGUGGCGAGCCAGCGGCACCGCACGCCCCUCCGUGAUCGUCCGCCACGUGCUCUCCAGCGUCUCGUUCCGCUUCGGCCGGACCACCCCCAACACCUUCCCUGCGUAAGUAAGUUCACAGCAAUACCACCAUUCGAAAUCAAAUUUUUUUUUUUUUUAAAAAAAAAUGAUUAAAAAUUGGGCAUUCUUGAAAUAGAUAUAAGUGAACUAUAUAGUGGGCCAUUUCACGGGCCGUGGGUUGAGAUUUGCCGUGCCGUACCGUCGGGGCUGGGCCUGGCGCUCUUCCUGCGGCUGAACCUGGAGGAAACCAGCGGUUUCUCCUCCCUUGAAUUCGAAUAGCAUUCCGUCGUCGGAAUCUCCGUCGUCUUCCUCCUCCGCUUAGGCGACCAGCUCGACCUCGAUAUCACGAACUCCUCUUCCUCCUCCUCCUCCUCCUCCUCCUCCUCCUCUUUCUUCUUCUCCUCCUCCUCCUCCCCCUCCUCCUCUUCGGCCUUCGCCGCCGCAGCCGCUCCCGUAACUUCGCCAGCGUCGUACUCCUCCGCGACAUCGAUUUCCGGGGGCGGAGAGGCGACGGAGAUGGUCGUUGGGGGCCCGGAUUCCGGGGGGUUAUCGCUGAAGCGGGAGGAGGCGGCGAUGGAGAGGAUGAUGACGUUGAUGACGAGGUAGAGGUACGGCGGGGUGAGCCAGUCCAGGACGAAUCCGUACAAUCGAGGGAGAUCAUCGGCCACGAACCCCAGGAUCGACGGCCCCGCUAGACGGAGCACCACCGCCGCCCACACCACCGCCGCCGAAGCCGCCGCAGCCUUGAUCGACCUACUCCUCCUCCCAUACCCCAUCAUCAUCAUCAUCGCCCUUGCUCUCUCUCUCUCUCUCUCUCUCUCUCUCUAGAUCUCUCUCUCUAAUGAGAGAUGAUGCUUCUGGAAAAUGGGGGAGAGGGAAAAAAGAGGAGCGGUGGAGCCGGGAGAUAUAAAAAAGCGGGAUGGGGUUUGGAACCGUUGGAUCUAUAACUAAAAGGUCUCAGCCGUUGGUUAUCACAGAGAGCUCUGCUAGCCCCCCGCUCCACAGACCGAGUGACCCGCCUCUCUCUGCUCUAUUUGCAUCUCUAUCCGCUCAAACUUAAUUCCAAAAAAAAUUUGUACACAGCCUCCAAAGUCCAAAGACUCCAAACAGAAACUCCGGAUUUCUGAAAUUACUAAUUUAUCCUCCUCAGCUUCCGGGUUCUUUCCCUGCGUUGGCCGCUUCUAUGAAUCAAAUCAAUGAUCGCAGGGUCGGAAUUUUAUUCGAUAAUAUUUAACACGACCGGCACGAAAGGGUAAUGCUGGGAAUACAUACAACAAGUAUCACUAAUAAAUAUAUAUCCAGUGGGAGAUUAUGGCACGGAAAUGGGGCUGAACGAACGGAUGAGAUUGGCCGCACGCGUAGUGGGGAUAGGGAUUGCUGGUUUUUGGAUUUAAACCGGCCCUUUAUUAAAGGGAGAGUCUCCAACGGUCAAAAAAUGGACCGUUGCCUCACCUGCGGACAGAGAGAGAGAGAGAGAGAGAGAGGACGAGGCGAGUGGUGGUGGGUCCCAUCUGUCGCAAACUCUGCCGCUCGAACGUGUCCGUAUAUAGCCUUCUCCGCCGACCUUUAUUAGUUUGCACCUCGAGAUGCGGAUCCAACAAGGCUCCAAGAAAACUUUUUGGUUUUUUUUUUUUUUUCAAUAUUCGGUGUACGGGAAGCUGGAAAUUUUCAUGCGCAACAGCUGUUUCUCUGUUUCUCAAUUCUUAUUGGAAGAAAGUUCUUGAUGUGCAUCAGUGCAUCUGGCUUCCGUACGCAUACUUUUUACUUUGCUUGUGAUUUUCCUUCUUACACCUGUGGAUUAUUUUUUUAGCAUGAAAUUUGACUAAACAGUGUAAUGUGGAUGGUUGCUUGCACCUGUGGAUUAUUUUUUAGCGUGAAAUUUUACCAACGCGCCAUUCCGGCAUGAUGCGGAUUCAGAUCCGUGUUAUGCCAAACCAUCUAUUUUCAGCCCACAACUCAUCACGAAUAGCAUAGUAAUUCUAUUUAUUAUUUUUAGGCGUUAUAAUUUAUUCAAUAAAUAAUUUUAGAUCAAUCUUUUUUAAUAUUUAUAUAUUAAAUAGUUAAAAUUAUAUUACUUUAAGGGGCCGUUUGGUUAGAUGUAGUUGCAGAAACAGUGUAGUUGAAAAUACAUACAGUUGCAAAUACUGCAGUUAUAACUACACCUAGUCUGUUUGGUUUUACGCAGUUGCAACUACUGCAGUUACAUUUCUUCUGUUUGGUAAUAUGAAGCUGAUAGUUGUAUUUAUGAAUUUUGUCACCUCUUCAGAUAGAGUGGUGAGGUUACCUUCACUAAACAUAAAAUAAUUGUAUAAAUUUAUUAAUUAUUUAAAUUUACUAUUUAUAAAUAAAUAAGUAGAUAUAUAUAAUAUUUUUAUAUUUUUCAAUAAUUCUUCAACUUAUUAAUCGACACAUUUAAAAUUUUUAAUUUAUUUAAUUUUAAUAUGAAAAUCAAACUUUAAAAAUUUAAGCGAUUCUUUUAUUUUUUUUAUCAAUUUUAAUAAUUAUAAUUAAUUAAAACUUAUUAAAUUAACAUACACGAUCACAUUCUAUAAAAAUUUAGAAAAAAAAACUAUAUUUAUAUUUUAAAUAAAAUAAAUUUAAAAAAAUUAAUUUUUUGCACAAAGCUUGUAUUGUCUAAAAAAUUUUAUUAGUAUGAGUUUAUUUAUAAGUAUUUUUAUUUACCUAAAUACAUAUAUUAUUUAUUUAUUUAGCUAUUUAUUUAUUUAUUUAUUUAUUAUUAUUAAUUUGUGGGUGAUCCUAUCCCUCACCAACUGCUGCAGUUGGAACUACGACCAAUUUGGAUGUAGUUCCAACUGCAGCAUUUGGGCCUUCUUGUGCAGUUGGAACUGCAGCAAUUGAACUCAACUACACUAAACCAAACAAAGGAAUUGUAGCUGCAUGCAUUUGCAACUGCACUGCAGUUGCAAAUGCGCACAACCAAACAGCCCCUAAGAGAAGAUAAAUUUUUAAAAAUAUUAAGGAAAAAAAAAAGAAAAAUACAAUUGGGCCAUGUCAUUCCGGUAUAUUCAGCAGCCGAUUGUCCCGCAGGCCGGCUGAGUGCAGCCCAGUAUGGCUUGCAGCCGUGCCGGUCUGGGCCAGCCCACGAGCUGCGCGACCGAGAUUACAUUCUAACGACGUACCUGAGCAGGUUCGUGAGUAAAUUAACACAUGCCAUCUGCAAUUACUAUUAGCGCUUGAAAAAACUCCAUGAGUCACGAUUCCAAAAAAGGGACUAUGCAGUCACCAGGAGCUUAGCAGCUAAUCUGCACGCCUCCUUAUGGUUAUUGACUAAUCUGUGAGCCCAAAGAGGCCCCUCUGACACGCUUUUAGAGCUAAGUAAAUAGAAAUGGAUAACCAGAGUUUCAAAAAUACAAAUUUGUAACCUCUCUAAGGAAGUCAGUUUAAGAAAGAAAGAAAGAAAGAACGAGUUUCUACUGUUACGGAGUUAUUUUAUAAACAAAGCGAAUGAAACAGACAUAUUAGUUUAGUCCUCGUUUGGUAUGGUUUUUUUUUUAUUUUUAAAAAUAAAUUUUUGCUUAUUUAGCAACAAAAAAAAUUGAAAACAGCCUUUUUAUCCUUCCAUUUCUUUUAAAGUAAAUUGUUAUUUAAUACUUAACUAGAUGUAUUACUAUAAAUAAACCAACUAUAAUAGCAAACAAGGCCAUAGGAUUUUACUUUUUUUUUGCUCUUAUUUACAAAUAUGAACCCCUAAAUUAGAAGAGUUGGUUACUCAGCAGCAACCUUUACCUGACUCUUAAUAAAAAAAAAAAAAUCCCACAACUUCUAUUUCCUUCUAGCUAUUUCAACACCACCUCUUCUUUUUUUUUUUCUCUUUCUUUUUUAUCUUUCUUUACGAGUAUAAAAAAUUGCUUACAAGAGUAAAAUCACCAAACACAGCGUCAACCAACACAAAAAUUCGACGAUCUUUGCAUAGGAAUGCAGUCAUGCACGUAGAAGCCACAUUUUUUUUUUUUUGAGAAAAAUAAUAGCACGCUACCCACUUCAUUCAUUGAAAAUGUGAAUUAAGCAAUAUGGAUGAGGCAGUGGGACCUCGAGGGGCUGAACCGAAAAAAAUAAAAAGAAAAGCUAUAUGACAGUGAAGGAUUUCUCCCACAAAUUGUACUAACUGUAUUAUCUUAGUCACAGCUAGAUUUGGGUCCGUCUGAAUAUAUUGAAAGAUUACUGUAUUUCUGAUUUUUCAAAUAACCCACUAUCCAGCUACUAGUUCAAUGAGCCUAGCCCUCUUUGGGUGCCCAUUAGGCCUAGCCGCCGGGCUAUCCCAGGUCGACUGUACGCUGUGUCCAAGCCUGUAAGCGCAUUUAAUUUAUUGCUAUCUUGUUUGUAGUAAGAGCAGCUCGUCAAAAGCCGUGGAAAAACGUUCCACGGUUUAGAGUGGAGUGACCACUUGGGCUCUCCACAAUCCACUAGUCUAACUUAAAACGCAGCCGGGAUGGCCCUACGCCAUUGAAAGGAAAGUGCGGAGAAAGAGGACUCAGGCUCAUCCCGUAGCGCCUACGUCCAGAGCCCACACACACGGACACAGAAGAGGCAUGGAUUUUAGUUUAUAUUUUAUUCUUUUCUUUUUUACUAACUGCAUGCUUUGAGACCACUAGCGAAUAAGAUAUACAUGACGACCAGGCUUAUCCCUUCUCAUGGCAUAUACUAGACCUAUGGACUAUAUCUGUCGAGAUCAUUUCCAAUAAAUAUAGGGAAAACUUCAAAAACCCCCCCUGUGGUUUCAUGCAUUCUCACUUUAGUACCCUGUGGUUUAAAACGUAUCAAUUUGCCCCCCUGUGGUUUCGUUUUUAUCUUUUCAGAAGCUUUUUCGUUAAUAUUUCGUUAAAUUAUAUACAAAAAACUUCAGAUAACCAUCUAUGUUUAUCGAAUAUUCACUUUAGUAUCCUUUAAUUUUAAUUUUGUCACUGAUUUAAGAAAAAAAAAAUAAUAAAAUUGAUAACAAAAAAAGAAAAAUGAAACCACAGGGGGGCAAAUUGAUACGUUUUAAACCACAGGGUAUGAAAGUAAGAAUGCAUGAAACCACGGAGGGUUUUUGAAGUUUUCCCAUAAAUAUAUGUAUAUAAAACGAUAUGGUGUGAUGCAUGCACCAUUAUUAGAAUUCUCACAUACCUUCAAGAUGGCAGUGCUAUGGCGCUUUCUUCUCUUCCUAUCUUCAAUAUAUGUAAUGAAAGCUGCCGCAGUUUUUCUCGGCCACGGCAACGAGACGGACCUGGCGGCUCUGCUGGCUUUCAAGAAAAUGAUCGACCCGAAGUCCGAAGUGCUGAGCUCGUGGAACGGGACCCUAAACUUGUGCGUGUGGGAGGGAGUCGCAUGUAGCCGGAGGCAUCCCAUGAGGGUGGUAGCCUUGGAGCUUCCUGCACACGGCCUAGCAGGACCCAUCUCUCCCUCCAUAGGGAACCUCACUUUCCUUCGCAUAAUCACCCUCAAUGGAAACAAUCUCUUUGGAGAGAUCCCUUCCACUCUCGCCUGGCUGCGCCGGUUGCGUUUCCUCAAUCUGACAGACAACUUACUCCAAGGUGUGAUCCCUGCCAACAUAAGCUAUUGCUCUCAACUUAGGCACAUAGGUCUUAGCGACAACCAGCUACACGGCACAAUUCCACCGGAGAUAGGAUCUUUGCCAAAGCUUCAGGCAUUGUUUCUUGGCAAUAACAGUUUCACAGGAGUCAUCCCCCCUUCGCUAGGUAAUCUUUCAUUCCUCAAUGGACUAUCUAUCGGGUUGAAUAAUUUGGAGGGGCCAAUCCCCGAUAGCCUCGGUCAACUUACCAACCUAGGCUUCUUACACUUGCCCGUUAACAAUCUUACGGGCACGAUACCUCCUUCUUUGUUCAAUUUAUCGUCUUUCUAUUACAUAUCCUUAGCAGUGAACCAGCUAGAAGGUAGCCUCCCAGACAAUAUUGGAAAUAAUCUGCCUAUCCUUAAUUACCUUCUCUUGGGCGGAAAUCGCCUCACUGGAACUAUUCCAGCUUCACUGUCAAACAUUUCACAGCUUGAAAUGUUUGAACUCGCAAUGAAUAAUUUUAGCGGGCGGAUACCUUCUGAAAUUGGGAGGUUGCAAGCUCUUGUUUCUCUGGAUUUGGGAGGCAAUCAGUUGGAAGCAAGUGGUCCUGAGGACUGGUUGUUCCUUGAAUAUCUGACAAAUUGUAGUAGCAUACAGCAAUUGGGGCUCGACUCUAAUCGGCUAGGAUGGGAGCUACCUGCCGUGAUUGCCAACUUGUCCACCCAGCUCGAAGUGCUUGCCCUGGAUCACAAUUAUAUUUCUGGAAGUAUACCUCCAGGCAUAGGAAAUCUGGUAGGUCUUGAAGCGCUUGCAUUAUCUUCCAACUAUCUCACAGGCAUCAUCCCACAAAGCAUUGGGAAACUUAGCAGGUUGCAGAAACUGUACCUGGAUAUCAACAACUUGACAGGGCCCAUUCCUUCUUCCCUUGGAAAUCUCACCCAACUGAACAGUCUUAUUGUAGCUUUCAAUAACUUACAGGGACCGAUUCCUACCACCAUUCGAAAUCUGCAACAGCUAACUCUUUUGGACCUCUCUCACAACAAGCUUAGUAGUUCCAUACCCAAAGAAACUUUUGUCCUGUCAUCUCUCUCCCAAUACCUGAGCUUAUCUUACAAUUUGCUAGUUGGUUCCCUUCCUUCGGAAGUGGGUGGUUUGACAAACCUAAGAUCAUUAGAAGUCUCAGGAAACAGAUUGUCGGGCGAGAUCCCUGAUACUCUGGGCAAUUGCCAGGUCAUGGAAUACCUGUUAAUGGAUGACAACAACUUCCAUGGGAACAUUCCGCAAACCAUGGGAAACAUGAGGGGCCUUCAAGUACUAAAUCUCACACAGAAUAACUUGUCGGGCCUAAUUCCUGAUGCCUUGGGCAGUAUAUCCGGCUUGCAAGAGUUAUAUCUUUCUCACAAUAAUUUCUCAGGGCCCAUCCCAAAAAUCCUCCAGAACUUGACCAAUUUACUCAAGUUAGAUCUAUCCUUCAACCAUCUUGAGGGUGAGGUACCAAACGAGGGGGUUUUCAAAAAUGUGAGUGCAUUAUCAAUCCUGGGAAAUGACGGGCUCUGUGGCGGCAUGUUACAGCUUCAUCUACCUGCAUGUCCUACCCCCAUAAGGUCUCCUAGAAAGAAAAGAUUGCAAAGAUAUGUUAGAAUAGUGAUACCAAUAACCGGAGCAACUCUAUUCUUCAUUCUGUCUUUGCUCGCAGCUUUGUUGUUUUAUCGAAAAUUUAAAUUAAGAAAGAAAGAUGCACCAUUGACGCAAGAAAUUGAGGAUCAAUAUCCGAAAGUUUCUUAUGGAGAAUUAUUUAAAGCAACUGAUGGGUUCUCCCAAACCAAUUUGAUAGGGAAAGGAAGAUAUGGCUCUGUGUACAAAGGCACUCUAAGUUACAAUCAAAGCACCAUAGUCGCCAUCAAAGUUUUUAACCUUCAGCAGUCAGGGUCUUCUAAAAGCUUUAUUGCCGAAUGUGAGGCACUAAGAAGAGUUCGCCACCGUAGUCUCAUCAAGAUCAUUAGUUGUUGUUCGAGCAUUGACUACCAGGGUACCGAUUUUAAAGCCCUGAUCUUUGAGUUCAUGCCUAAUAACAGUUUAGAAAGCUGGUUGCAUCCGAAGGUUGAUGACUCACAACAAUGUAAAACUCUCAGCCUACCUGAGAGGUUGAACAUUCUGGUCGAUGUUGCCGAUGCGCUGGAUUAUCUUCACCACAGUUGUCAGCCAGCAAUUGUACAUUGUGAUAUGAAGCCGAGUAACAUCCUUCUUGAUCAAGAAAAGUGCGCACAUGUUGGAGAUUUCGGGCUCGCGAGGCUCCUGCCUGAAGUUGUAAGCACAUCUUUGGUUGAUUCAAGAAGCUCUAUAGGAAUAAGAGGAUCUAUAGGUUAUGUUGCUCCAGGUAACUCGAUUUCCGCUAUGGUAACAUUUACAGCCGUGUGCAUGUAUUAGCACAUGCACAUAUAUUUCCAUGGCAAGAAUAGAGAUUUAACAAACUAACAUAUACUAAUAGUUUAUUAUGCGUGGAUUAAUGCAGAGUAUGGUGAAGCCAGUCAACUUUCUACCAGUGGAGAUGUAUAUAGCUUCGGAAUUACCGUCCUUGAGAUGUUUACAGGAAGGAGUCCCGUUGAUGAAAUUUUCAAAGAUGGCCUGAAUCUACAUGAGUAUGCUGCAGGGGCUUUCCCAGAAAGAGUCAUGGAAAUAGUUGAUCCUGUAAUUCUGUUACAUGCUGAAGACAAUGUUGCUGCUAUUGACAGCUGGGGAGGAGGUAAUACAUCCAGAAGAAUAGUGGAGAUGUGCUUAGUUUCUGUCAUAAAAGUUGGCCUCUUAUGCUCAAAGCAAUCACCAAGAGAAAGAAUGUCCAUGAGGGAUGCUGCCAAAGAGAUGCACACCAUUAGGGAUGCAUACCUCGGAGUAAGGAAUCACGAAAGAAGGCCUACUCAGCUGUAAAGUAGUGCCUUUUUCUUUGUUGAAGAAUAACGUGUAAUUGCAUAAAUAUAUUGUCAUUAUUAACGAUUGAAAAGAUAUUGAAAUAAAGUAACUCUGUAAGCAGGAACUUGCAAUCUAAAGAAUACAUAGACAUACCUACAUCUUCUUUAGGCUUCACCGCCACUGACAAUAUUUAGCUUGCUGGCCUCCAGGCAAGAAAGAAUAUUUGGUUAGCUUGGAAGUAUAUUGAGUUAGCUUACUUUUUCAUCAACAAUGUCAUGAUAAUGAUGUUUUGAAUUCGGAAAAAAAAAAUUUAACAGAAAGCUGCAAAUUUUAUAAUCAAAUAAAUAUUUCCCAAGUCUCUCUUGCCUCCAUUUUGAUAAUGAGCAAAUGAGUGAUGACAAGAAACUGAUAGCCAAGUUUAAGUAUGUAUAAAAAAAACUAAACCAACAGGGAAAUAAAUGUUAUCCAAGUACGAAAUCCACUUCGAAAAUUUUCAAAUCUAGAGACAUACAGGAAUACAUUAAGUCGCAGUACAUAUGGAGCUCAUUACAUGAAGCAAUAUACUAAGUUUGGAUUCACUCAUUCUUUUUCUCAAAUUUCGCCCUGUCAGCUCCACUAUAUGGCGCAACAUGAUAUGCAUACUGUUGGAUAACGGAGAAGACAACCAUUUCAACUAUCACCAACAAAUUUUGAAUCGCCUUUUGGAUAUGCACAACAUCCAACCAGAAAUGAUGGGAUUGGAUUACUCCUACAGCAGCCAACACAUCAAGAGCAACUCCCUGCAAAAUAAAAAAGAAAUUCAACCUUCAAUUUGUUCCCUUUCAAAAGAAUGAUAAGUAAGACAAUCGAAGAUCCCAUUUAAUGUUAUAAUUAAAAACCACAGAGAUAUGACAGAACAUUCCAAAAUUUCCAAAUUUCUUCUUCCCUUUGUCCCAUAAAAUUUUUCUUUUCCUACCUAAAGGGUUAGUCUUAUUGAGAUAAUACAAAUACCUGGAGUUCUUUUGAGUAUGACAACCACUCUUACAAGGAUUAACUACUUGCCUAUCCGCCCAGCUCAGCUAAAUGGGCGUUUGGAUAUAUGCAGUUACAAUUCAGCCCAAAUUUAAGUUCGGUGAGAUUAUAAACAUCAUUCUCACCAUCAGCCAUGAUAACAUCGAAGACAUCUGCUGCUUAGCUGUGGGCUACUUUUUGGAUUUCCACAAAAGAAGACUUCGAACUACUACAAGCAGAAAUUGCCUAAAAAUAGAACUCAAAGAGCUCAUGGUUAGGCGGCAAAUCUCCUUGGCUUUAUCGUGAUCGAUGGCGGACAAAUAUUUCUACUCCUAGUAUACUUGAUUGAAGAACGAAUUGCAAUUAAGUCAAUCUAAACAACCCAUAAAAGUAGAUGUCUGAUCUGCAGUUAUUCAUAUGCUUGUACACAGCUUAGAUUUCUCUUUCCAUUAGUCGUAUAGUAUUGUUUCUGACUAAAUCUGUGUGUGACAGCCACUGGAACUCAAAACUCGGUCUUCAUGGCAAAAUCUGUAGCUACGGUUAGCUUUAGAUAGUGUUGCACAACUUUUGAAAUUUGUAUUCCAUUUCCAUCAAGCUAAUAUAAGAUAAACUUGCAUCAUAGAUUAUAACUGAUUUUUGCCCUCAUGGUCAACAUAGCUGAUUAGGAUUGGUUGAAUCUUAGCAUAAUUUCAGAACAUGGUAGACCCAUUUGAUGUAAACAAUAGUUGACCAAAGCCAAGAAAAGAAAACUACCUGCCAAAAGCAAAAGAAGACAAUCCCUUUGAUGCACAAGAACUUUGCCAGAGGCUUGUGGGGCGCCAGCUCCUUCGCAAAGACAUGGUAGAAGAUAACCAGAGCAUACAACGCCAUGGAAACUGAGAUGUUCAAUAUGAUCGUGAAAAGCCAGCUAAGCCAAGUUGGAUAGAGUCCUAGAAGUUGCAGUAUUAUCAUAGAAACAGAGCAGACAGGGCGAAUCACAACAAAUUGCCAUGUCCAGUACUUGAGAAGCUUCAAUGUGUGGUGCUCCAAACGGACAGUGCGAGGCUGUUUUUCAUAUAACAAAUCAUUAUGAAAUAGCAUACAUGUCUGCACUGAUUUAAGAUAAUGUGUGCUUGGAACAUAGAGAAAUAUGCAAUGUGCAGGAUAUUAAUAUCAACAUCAACACACAACAGCUACAGUUAUUAAAAACUCGGAAACCCAGGAAUUGUGUACUAAUAAACCAUCCACGACAUGUGGAUAGAUGUGAUUUGUUACUGUGCAUAAGCGUGCAGUCUGCCUAGUUGCUAAAAAUCUAUAGUUAGAAGAUAAUUCAAGUAGCUGGCUAGGUACCUCUAGGAAGAUAACCAAAAUACUUAUCUAACUUACACCGCUAGGCUGUCAUAUUAGUCACCUAAGGUAUUGUCUGUUCGAAUGCAAAUCAUUCUCCCUAGCCCGUGCAUACAUUACUAAUUUUAUAUGUACCUCACACUUGCAAAAUAGCAUGUUCACAAGCUAUCCACUUGCCACGUGAGCUCUUUCUUACACCAUAUUUGAAUAUUAGGCUAUGCUUCCACAUGGUUUUCUUUCUCCUCUUUAACCCUUAUUUUCUUGUGGCAAUAUUUCAUAAAUAAAAUGUAAAAACAUAUAGAACUUACCUGAACUAUGGACUAUUUUGAAUCAGAUAUCCAGCCUUUCAAAAUUUUGAUUUUACUCCCCAACAUUUCAAUUUGUUUGAUUUGAAUUAGUUAACGAUACUUUGACUUCAAAAUCUUAGCUAAUUGCUUACUUUAAAAAAUUUAUAGUAGCAAGAAUUGUAUGAAGUAUGCUAACUAAAUCAGUAAAGAUAAACGAUGCAUUCAAAAUAUGAAGUCAAAAUGCCAUUAACUGACUCAAAUCAAACAAAUUGAAAGGUUGGGUAGUAGAAUUAAAAUUUUAAAAUUUUGGGUAGCCAAUUCAAAAUAGUCCAUAGUUUAGGUAAAUUUGUACGUUUUUUUACCUAAAUGAAACAGUCAUUCGCCGAAUUGCAAGAUAAGCCACAUGCAAAGAAAAUACAGAAGCAUGCAUAUAGAAUAGCUAGUUUAAUAAAACCAAGUUUUGACAGAAAGCGUACCAAGAAAACAGACACCGGGAAAGAGUGGUGAAUCUCCCUUCCUUUUAUUUCAUCAGGAACUAUGUUCUUGCUGAUAGAGAUAUUCAAGUAGCUAUACAUCAAUGCCAUGAACUUAGCAAUCACCUACACGCCACAACAGGAACACAUAAUGAAAUUCUCCAGAAGCCUUUAGAAGGUAUGCAUGAGACAAACACUUCAAUGUCAAGGUAAGGGCUCACCAAUGCCUCGUAGCAUUCUUUAACCGAGUCCAGGAACAUGAAAAAAGCUUCGCUGCCUUGAAUAUCUAGCAAACCGACAAAGGAAUCAAUCGCAUAUAAUGGAGCCAUCAGUAUGAUUAUUAGUAUAGCCUUCUGCUCCUUGGGAUUUUUCCAGUAGAAAAGAUGCUGUGAUAGCAACUGUAAUGUAAAAUGCAUCGUCAGCAUCACACAGCAUGCUGCCCCCAAUAGAGUGAGCGUCCCUCGGUCCAUCGUUGUUAAAUCCAUCUGCGGGAACAUGGAGGCAGGGCGGAAUCUGAAAAUACAUGAUUAUUCAUGUCAACAAUAAUCUAUUCUAUUAGCUAUAAUACUAUUCUAGUAACAACCUACAAAUGAAUCACAAUUUUGACUCUAGUGAAGGUAGUUAAAAGUAAAAUAUCAUCUUAAAAUCCAUCAAAAAUCAGUGAUUAAAAUGAAACUAAUGAGUAGAUAAAAAUCCUUACAAACUGGUUGAGCACCAAAGGAAGCCACAAACCAACUAAUAAACGACAAAACAAUCAAAAUUAAACCCAAAGUUCUUGAACGGAAGUAAAAAAAAAAAAACAAUCUAAAUUAAAUAAGAGAGUACCCAUCAUCCUUGUACCACAUCACAUGAUACAGGAAAAGGGGCAAAAUACUACACAGGAGUAUAGGAGAGUAGAGAGGAUAUAGGACUCACAUUCAUGGCAUCGACAACUGGUGAGAUUAAUUCAAAAAAAAUUUCAAAUAGAACUCAGCAAGGAUGCCAUAUAUCAUAACAAAGAACAGGGAGAAGCAUGUGUUUUAAGAAGAAUGGAGGAUAAGCCUCACUCUUUGAUGAGCUCAUCAACCAUCAAAGUAUUCAGUGCUUUGACUUUUCAAGGAAACCCAGCUGCAGCAAAAAACUCCAAAAAGAUCAAUUUCAGCACCUCCUUCACUCGAAUUCGUGUCGAAUGAUCUCUCAUAGACCAAAGUAAUCAUGAUAACUGAGAAAUGCGAAGAGUCAUCUACCAAAUGCCUAUGUAUUCUAUUUUCUACAUCAUACCAUGCCCCUCUCAUUUCACAACAAAAUAGGCGAAAAACACAGAAGUAUUGGUUAGCUUGGACAGGAAACAAGCCGUAAAAUCGCAAUCGAUCAAUCCACGAUACGCUCCUGAAAAUUAGGAUCUCCGGGUCUUAUGGGUUUCCUCCGGAUUUCUUUUAUUCUUCAAACUGUUUGUGGGGAUGGUUUCCUUCCCAAUAUCAGCUUUAGGGUUGACAUAAUAAGUGCUGGCGAAUCCAGUACAGUAUCAGAUCUAUCAGCAAUUUGCCAGAUUAUCUGCUAAAAGUAAAAGGAAACUGGGGGAAAACAAAAACUAGACUGAAACAGCUCAGAACAACUAAAUCAUCGAGCACCAUCUGAAAACAUCACCGCAAAACAAGCCGUGCGAAUGAUCCCUUAGUUGAAGAAGGGAACUAAACUACGUAGCACCAGAUUGGAGAAAUCAGGAGAUGGAUUUAACUUAAAACACUUACGAAAGAAUCCGAUCUCUUCCUCAGUGAAACCGAUAAUGGAGCUUGAGAGAACGAGUUUAGAAAGAGAUGGGGACAAAGAAUUGUACGCUUACUUAGGGCGGAGCAAUUAAUGGCGACGCAUGAGUUGUCUCUCGGUCAGGUCGCUAUGUUUGACUUCAUGCGCACCGUCCUCGAUCGCCCAAGGGGACGACGACGGAGAUGGAAAAGGAGCCCAUUAUGAAGACGCACAAACCUCACAAAUUCCUGCACAACGAGGCCUACUACUAAAUGGGCUUUUCCUCAGAAUUAGACCGGCCCAAAAAUGUCCUGUCGAGAACGAGCCCAACAACCGAGCCCGAGACGGCGCAACGAAUGUCCACGUAUGUCCAAAAUUCUUCGGGCUCGGCCCAUCUACUUGUGAGGCACGAAUAGCACUAUUAUUGUUUCGUACAUAUGGUCCCGACCGGCACUUUGUGUUAGCUUGUCAUUUAGUGUCAGAAUAUAUAUUAGUUUGUCAUUAUCACUAAUUAAUCGUUACGUAUCGGUAAGUUCAACUCAAUCUUCGGCUGAAGCCACGCAUGAGUGAUGUUCAACAUUGGCAGCCGUAGUUAGGUGUUGAUGAUAAGUUGAAGUCCUUCCUUCCCCAUUGGUGUCACGUCUCUAGUUUGGAACUAGCCAUCAAUGAGUCAAAAAUAUCUGACGUAAUGUAAUCUUUUUGUCAUCUCAAAUAAAACAUUAAGCCUGCAUAUAUACAAAGAAAGAGUAAGGAAAACGUUUUGAUGCAUCAUUAAAUCAAAAGAUCCCAUCCAGGCCUUAAUUAAUUGAUUCCGUAUGAUUUAAGGGCGCUUUGAAUUUGUAGCCAAAAACACAACUUCAGAAAAAAAAAAAUUGCAAAACAAAAAGUUAACUAGUAGCACCCUCCUUUUUACAGUGAGAAGGUGUAUGAUGCUUAAUUUGUCUAUUUCAUUUUCAUCUGUUAAUUCUCCAGGCACUUUGCGGAUAAGGCACAAGAAGUGAUCAGAAGUGGUCGGCAAGGUUUGGAGUCACUCCACUUCUCACAGAUAUAUUUAUUUGCCAAAGUCUAAUAUGGUCGAGAGAAAAUAUAGAUAGGAUUUUUGGAGUUGAGCUAUGAUACUUUUACAAGUAUCACCAUCAUGGUGCUAUUAGGUUUUAAGCCAUUGGAUCUACUUUUUGAUUAUUAAUAGUCCUUAGAUUAAACAUUAUUCCACCUACUACCACCUACCACUAUCAUCUCAACCUCACAUCUCUCCAUCCAAGGACUAAAAACACACAAGUAUCACCCCCAUAAUACUUUUACAAGUAUUCUAGCCCUACUCGGAUUUUUGUAUACGACCUUCGUUUAGUUUGUGGUAUUAUUACUCCCUCUUGUUGGGCCUUCCAGACACUAGUGCGCCGCGCCCAGCUUUUAAACACAAAUAUAAAGGAACACACAAGUAGGUGGAAAUAGUGGAUGCGAGCUUUUUUUCGUAGCUAGCAUCAAACUUUAGCUACAAUUUGGUAGGAACUAAAUAUAUGCUUAGAAUGGUGCAAAGAAUUAUAUAUAUACAAACUUACGUGCUUUUAAAAGUAUAGAAGUUCACCGACCAUUCCUAGAGCGAGCAACAAAGAGCUUGGUAGUUGAUACCCGAGGUCCCAAAUUCGAAUAUUUGUUGAUUCACAUUUUAAACUAAGUUUAUUUAUAAAUGAAAUAAACGAAGAGUAUAACGUGCUACCUAUCUCUUUUAAAAAAAUAGUAUAGGAGUUCAACUCUCUCUCUCUCUUUAUGUAUAUAAUUUAAUAAGACUAUGCUUUAAGAGAUUUCAGCCAUAUCAAGAGAGAGAGAGAGAGAGAGAGAGAGAGAGAGAUUUCAACCACAAGUACAAGCGAGCGAGUAGUAUUUGUGCUCCAAAUUCGAACCACUCUGCCUCAUCAGUGGAUUUUAAAUUAAACAGUUUUCAAAAUUCGAAGCAUUUAAGAUUAAUAUUCCGUAGUGGUGCUGAAUGACAUGGUCUCUAAAUUCAAAGCACUAGGUAAAGUAGUUAGCCCAUUAAGAAUUUGGGCUGAAGAUGUUCACCUAGAAAAUGCUUGCAUGUACCAUUAAUGGACAGGACAGAUAGCAAUUGAACAUAUAGAGGAGAACUUAACUAUUGGUGUGUAUGUGUUAUUAAUUUGCAUUAAUUAUGUUGAAGAGUGGUCAGUCAAAGUAAGAUAUGUUUAAAUAAAGGCUUUUCUAUUUGUAUAAUGCUUAUUAGUGGAUCGGCUGCAUACUUGUUGUACUAUGAUUGGCUGAUUUUACCACGUUGGUUUUGAGACAAUACCAUCACCAAUAAAAGGUAUACUUUUGAAGUAGCAGAAGAUAUCAAGAUAGUGAAGGAAAGGAAAAGAUCAAUAAUCAUAACAGAGAAUCAUAAAAAGGCACGUCAAGAGAUACGAUGGGGACAUAAGAUUGAUAAGUGAUUACCAUGAUUCGGGUAGCACCAAAGUAGCCACAUAAAAGAGGAUAUGUUGAUUCUUUUUACGCAGGCGAACGAGGGGUGUUCCGUAAUCUCGAACUGGGGCUCUCUUAAUUCACUUGUCGGCGAAUGAGAGAACUCCACAUCGUGCAGAGUGAGAGUAAUAUUGCAAGUUAAUUGCGCCGUAUUUGAGUUCGUAACAGCAUGAAACAGGUCGUGCAUGGAAGCCAACAAGAAACGUUGGUUAUCCAGCAAGAACCAAACGCUUGCAUUUCUCGCUUCUCUGUGCUCGGCUGUUACCUUUUCUUUUGUUUUGUCCUGGUAAUUGAGGGAUCUCUUUCUUCUAGCGGCUUUCUUAUCGAGUUAUAUAAAAUGAAAAUUUGAAAUUCAGCAGUGAUAUUUUCGUGGAUUUAUUAUUAUUAAUUUUUGACUGUAUAAUAAUAUUGUGUGUUGCGACUGCCACGCAUACUCUUAAACAGAAAAACUGUUCAAUAAAUCAAAUCAACUAGUAAUUGUUCGGCUUCCUUUUCUCUUUUUUUUCUUUUUUUUUUUUUUGUGGGUGUUACAUACCUUAGCCUGUACAGCCACCUGCUGUUCAUCCUUGAUUGCGUACGCUUACCGUUCAUCCCUUGAUUUGCGUACGGUCACUGUAUUUCGCAGCUUGUAAUGCUAAUGUGGAACGAAAUGUAUAUUACAUGUAACAGUAGCAGUGGGGCAAUAUAAUAGGGGACGACUCCUUCAAAGGACGCACUUGAAUAGAACGCAGAAGACGAGCAUCAGAGGGGUAAGGGGCUGAUGAACAUUUAUGAAAAGGAAGCAACCCCCUUUAGUGGCCCAAAAUCCAAUGGUGAUAUUUUUGGAGGAGAACAUCAAAACCAUUGGGGUCCAUGUUCAUCACAGGUUCUAAGGUAAAAAGAAAAGGUACAAAAGCUUCAUUUCCCCGCACUCCCCUCCCCUCGUCUCCUCUUAGUCCUCUUCAUUGGCGACACUGGUAAUAUGAUAUAGAUAGAUACAACCCCCUCCCUCUUUUGUAGGUUUUAUUACCUCGGUUUAUUUUCUCCCCAAAAAUUAUGGGUGGUGAAAUGAAAACUAUUUCCCGUGUCAUGUCAUGCACGAAGGUAGGCGCUUGUGUCUAUAGCAUCUCGAGGCCAGCUCACAGGUCCUUUUUGGGAUUCCCCAAAUAGCCCCAUACUAGGCCCAAUGCUCUCUCAUCUCUCAAUUUCUUCCUCUCUCGUCUCCGCGGCUCUCUCUCUUCUCUCUCUCUCUCUCUCUCUCUUCCAGUCUCUCCCCCGCCCCCCACCCAAUAUUCUCUCUCUCUAGAUGCUCUCAUCACCCUGUCCCUCUCCCCCCCCUCAUAUUCUCUCUCUCUCUCUCUCUCUCUCUCUAUGUGUGUGUGUGUGUGUGUGUGGGUGUGGGUGUGUGUGUGCAGGUGUAUGUAGCUCCGAUUAAAACUUAGAACUUAAUAAAAGAGCGUGGGGUGGGGGGAUUGGGUUGGGAUGGUGGGUUAUAUGAGACACCCACGACGGAGGAGGGGAGGAAGGAGAGCAGCGGCUUUAGCGCUUGUUGUUAUACGAAUGGGAAUGGGGAGCGCCUCCACUCUUUGAAAAGAUCAAGCCUAUAUCCUUUUCCCCGACGGUUUUAUUAGGCGAGAGAGAGAGUUCGAGAGGCGUGUGCGCUAGGGAUUCUCUUACGCUGGAUCCUCUUAUUUGUGGGCUCGCUCUCUCUCGCCGUGCCGCGUCCCGCUUCAGAUCUCGCUCGCCCCCGGCCCAAAGGUGGCGCCUUUCGCGGGGCGUUGCCUUUUCUCCGCAGCACCCCCUCGAUACCGCGUCUUUUCCUUGCCUUUUUUCUUUUUUUUUUCUUUUCAUUCUACGUGGCCUGGGUUUCCCCACCACUGCAGAUCGAUCGAUGCUCUUAAUUAACUCUCUAUAUCCUUCUCUCUCUCUCUCUCUCUCUCUCUCUCGCGUGUAAGAUCUUUAAUUUAUUACGAGGGUUUCGGGCGCUUUUGUCUCAGAUCAAUCUAGGUUCUGCUUGUUUCCGGAUACUGGGUCUGAGCUUUUGAGGAGGCGGUUUCGUUGAUUGCACGAGUUCUCAUCCAUGGCUAGCAAGGGUCCGGAAAAGGACGUGGAGUUUCUGUUCAGCGACGAGGAGCUGCGGGAGAUGAGCGGGCUGAAGACAGGCUCGGACUUUGUGGAGGUCACGUGCGGGUGCACGAGCCACCGCUACGGCGACGCCGUUGGUAGGCUUAGGGUUUACGCCUCCGGCGAUCUCGAGGUCCGCUGCGACUGCACGCCCGGCUGCCAGGAAGGUCUCUCCUUUUCACUCUUCCAUAUCUCUCUCUCUCUCUCUCUCUCUCUCUCUCUCUCUCUCUAUAUAUAUAUAUAUAUAUAUAUAUGCAUCUUUAUCCUUCCUUCAUAUGCCGGAUUUGCACACAUGAUGUUUGAUCUUUGGUCGUGCUUGCUAUAUAUAAAUAUGUAUAUGUACCUGCCUCCUUUUUGUAAUCUCAUUGAUUAUAUGCAGGAAGUUUUUUUUUUCUUUUUUUUUUUCGUUCAUCCUAACUCACAUGCAAUGCUGAUUCAUCCACUUGAAACUUCAUUCUCUUCAUUUUUUUUUUUGAGUUUGUGCCUACUUUCCUUGUUCUUGCAGAAUGUGGUGGUACUGUUAGGAACUUCCUGGUUCUUGUGUCCUGUACUUACCAUGUUUCACAGUGUUUUGCUUCAAAAAAUAUUUGCUUUUGAUCCUGGCCUUGUUAGCAGUUUUGUUCUGUACAAAAACUCGUCGUGUCGAUCGCUGUCUAUAUUUUGGGAUUAUCUCCUAAUGGAAAUUGAGGAUGCAUUGGACUCUUCUAUAUUAACUUCUGUAUAUAUUAUACUGGUUGCUCAGCAUGCAUCUUCAACUUGGGUUCUUCUUGCAGCAGACCUCUGCAUGUUACUUUUUGUGUCUUCAUUUUGUUUCUUCUAUUCAACCUGCAACUUUAGUCUUUUCGACCGGCAUGUAUUAUUAGCUUGUUGGUGUAGGUUAAAUAUACUCUGGUGAUAAUAGAUAAACACAUUCUUUUAUUCAUGCUUACUGUUUUGCCUUUCCUUUUCAGCUCUUUACUGUAAGAAGGUUCGCUUCUCUCUGUUUUUAGUUCUUCUUGUAACUUGGGGCAUAGAAUACGUACUUGGAAAUCAUGAUUCAACAGCAUGUUCUUUGGAUCUUUUGACAGAAGAAUUCAACUAUCACAAGUUGUCUUUUUUUUUUUUUUUGGUUUUUAGCUCUUCUUGUAACUUGGGGCAUAGAAUACGUACUUGGAAAUCAUGAUUCAACAGCAUGUUCUUUGGAUCUUUUGACAGAAGAAUUCAACUAUCACAAGUUGUCUUUUUUUUUUUUUUUGGUUUUUAGCUCUUCUUGUAACUUGGGGCAUAGAAUACGUACUUGGAAAUCAUGAUUCAACAGCAUGGUCUUUGGAUCUUUAGUGACAGAAGAAUUCGACCAUCACAAGUUUUUUUUUUCUUUUCAUUUUAGCAAAGUGAGAAGAAAUUUCAUGGAAAAUCCUAAUGAAAAAUUGCUGCUUUUCAAUAUUGCAUAAGUUUAAUUUUCAGAGGUUGGAAAAAUCAGGAAUUCAAAACAAUCCUAGGAAUUACAGGUAAUUAAGCUUCUUUUUUUGUUUCUUUCUUUUUCUUUUUCUUUUUCUUUUUUUUUUUCGGGGCUACAUGCGGUAAUGACUCAAUUGCUUCACAUGCUUUUCAGAGUUUAUUCUUGUUAAGUAAUGUCCAAAAUGGAAUGAAGGACAAAACAGUAGUUUAUUAGGCUGCUAUACUCGCUAUGUUGCACAACUGGCCAUUACAUAGAUAUAGCCAGUUAGCAACCCUCUUUCCUAUGCUGACGUUUAUCUUAGGAGUCACAUCUACUCAGGUUUUAUUCUGGAAGAGCUCAGUGGGUCAAUUUUGCAUUCUGAUUGAUAUUUUUCCGUAAUUUAAAGGCUUUGUGCCUUAAAGGCACUUCAAAUUGGUUUAUUACCCAUAUAAUUCAGCUUUUGAACAUGGUAUUGAGACUUACAACUUAAUUAUCAUCCAAAAGUUUGAGAAAAUUACUCCGCAAGAUGCUUUAAUUUUAUCUUUCCUUCUCUUAAUUUGGGUUGAAGGCCAAAUGUUGAUGGGAUGCCAUGCUGGAUUGAAGAGGUCUUUUGGACAAGUAAAACGAUAGAUGAAAUUUCCGUUCCUGGAGAAUCUCUGAAGAGCUAUGCAUUUAUUCGUCGAGAUUUAUAAUUAUAUACAAGAAAAUUUCUGCUGAAGCAUGCAAGUUUGUAUCUUCCAAUACAGCUUCUCCUUCCUCAUCUCACACAAAUGAAUGUUGAAUGACUCAUCAAGAUGGAAGGAAGGAUUCAUUUUGUGCGUGGAAUGGUCCAAUCAUCUGACUAGAUAUUCUUUGUGCUUUGUUCUUUUUUUUUGAUGCUUAGGACGAUUAAUUGACAGUCUUUGGCAUUCUUCAUGCUUAGUUCUUUAUGUUUCAUGCGUCAAAUGUUCAUUGACAUAAUUCAAUCUACCUGUUUAACCUUUAGAAAAUUGUAAAAUAUACUUUUGUAUCUCCAGUUUAAUACAAGCUUUUCUGUGAUUCGUUAUUGACUCAUUAUAGAAAUAAGUAGUCAGAUCAUAGUUCCAUCCUGCAUCUAUAACCACUGAGCAUAAUCUAAUGGACAUCUAAUGCACAUUGAUAGCUCGGCUUCUCUUUUUGUGCAAACUGUGUCAAUAGCCUGAUGGUAAUUUUUCGUUACUGUGAUCUUCAGAUAAGUUGACCCCAGCUGCUUUUGAGAAGCAUUCUGGACGGGAAACUGCGAGGAAAUGGAAGAACAAUGUGUGGGUUAUAGUUCAAGGAGAAAAAGUCCCACUGUCAAAGACGGUACUGCUUAGGUACUAUAACCAAUCACUGAAAUCUGCAAAUGGCUCUCACAAAGGUCCCAAUGGCCGUCCAUGUCAUCGCGAUGAGUUUGUACGUUGUUCAAGUUGUAACAAAGAACGUAGGUUUCGCCUCCGAACCAAAGAGGAGUGCCGUAUAUACCAUGAUGCUGUCCGGAAUGCCAAUUGGAAAUGCUCAGAUUUGACGUUUGAUAGGUAUUGUUCUUAUCUUUGAUUGCAUGAAUCUCUACUUGCUGCACUAUUAUUGCACACAAUUCAUUGGCUAGGUAUUGCUAGAAAUGUUGGUACAUUUUUGUGGUAUAAAUAUUGUGUGCCCCUAUCUGAUACAUAUGAAUGCAUUUUAUGUACUAACAUGUCAUAUUCUACCUAGUAAAAUCUAAUGAUAUUGAUUGUUUUGUUAGUUAGAAAAUUCUCUGCUUAUGUGCUUGUAUACUGUUUUGCCAUUGAUUAAAAUAUUGCAUCCAAGUAAUUGUACAUCACUUAAUAUAACUCACACAUCCCUAUUGGUGAGAAUCUCGUGCAUCUUGUCUUGCAUAUAUUUCUGAUGCACAACUAUUCUCGUCUUCUUCCUUUGCUUUUCGAAGCAAACUAAAUGUUAUAUUGCUGCACUAAUUCCAGUGUUACCUGCGAUGAUGAGGAAGAGCGUGCAAGUCGCAAGGUCUUAAGAGGAUGCUUGCGCUCCCCAUCCUGCAAAGGUUGUACCACAUGUGUCUGCUUUGGAUGUGAUAUUUGUCGCUUUUCAGAUUGCAGUUGCCAGACAUGCGUUGACUUCACCCAGAACUCGAAAAGUUAGGCUAUUUAAACGCCAUUCUUUUCUCCCCUUCACAGGCUUAUGCUCGUUUUCAAGACGUUAGACAUCGUCAACAUUAAGUUCUUUGACUAGUUAUUCUUGCUUGCUAGCGGAGGCUUCUUCAAUCAAUCUGGGUUCACAUUUGUUGUCUCGAUAACUAUUCUUGCUUCCUCGAGAGGCAGCAGAAUUUUGUUAAAGAAAAACUAUUUAUUAUUUUUAUUAUUUGGACAAGAUAUGCCAUAUUGGAAUGAUUAUUUCUUCCAAAAACCAGUGGAUGUCAAUCUCAGUGCAUCGUUCCUCCUUGAUUUCAAAACAAUAUUAUUUCUGAAGGAUAUUAAAAUAGAUCUUCACUAGGUGGCAGGUUUUUCUGUUUUUUCCUGGCUCUAGUUGUUUUACUUUAGCUAUCAUGCUUUUAAGUGACAUUGUUAUAGUUAAGUUUCAAAAAAAAAAAAACAGAGAGUGCUAUAGUUGUUUUGGCAAUUGGCUAUUCUGUCUAUCAUUUGACUGAUGUCACUGUACUAUGGCCAUCUAAAUGGUCAUAGAUCUAUCACUAAUCAUUCAUGGAAUGUUGUCUACUGUAGAGAUAUUACCUAAAGCUUGCAGAUCUUGUGCUAGUAAUUGAUUUUGGAUGACAUGAUGGUACAAGUGGACUAGUUUCUGCAUUUGAGUGGUCAUCAUAAUGACUUUUGAUCUAUUAAAUGUUAACCAUGAUAAUAUGUUUACUUGCAUUGUUAUAAUUGGAUUACUAAUUACUGCAUUAUUUUUACUGAUCAUGGUUAGAUCAAGUAACAUUCUAAUAUCGCCUCAGAGAUAAACUAUUUUCUGAAGCUAGCUACAGCAUAUAUCCAAGACCACCUGAGAGCUUAAAGAUCAGUAUGGACAUCUUACGAACACCCGGUUAGCCCUCGCAUGCCCGUUCUUUUCUUUCUUUUGCAGCUUUUCAAGCUGUAAUAACUCAAAGACCUUCUUUAUCCGACCAAGGCCCGGAUUAGGAAAGAGGAGUCACAUUUUUAACAUAUCGGGGUAUACCAAACAUACCUAACUAUGAGCCGUUUGAAUGCCGAGUUCAUACUCAAAAAGGUCUCAAAGCUGGUAUAAUAUAACAGUGUCCCUGAUUUCAGUAAGGGCAAUAGCAGUUGGCUUCAAACAAGUUGAACCCCUAGUUCUUUGCUUGCUGAAUCUCCACAUGCAAUCAAGGUUGGCAAGCAUUUGAAACUACGAAAAGAACUUGCUAGAAAACUUCCAAUUAUGUCAGACUGUUAGAUCUCACACUACGCUUAUGAAAUACCGUUAAAGCUCCGCUGGUCCAUUAACGCCUUUAGAGCCCAUGUGCUACUUCGUGAAUAUGGCAGCAAAAACUGGCCAAUUGCCUACAAUUGGCAGGUGCUUACAUUGUCGAACAAGCAACUCGGUCAAAGUUAGCACCAGAACCAAAAUCCAGGUCAUCAUCAUAUAUAAGAAUGAAAGAGCAGAGACAAAUAUCCUCCAACUAUACCUCUGGUGAUCUAUACAAGUUUUAACUACAGGGGUAGGGGCACUCCUUAAGGUUCAGGAGAUGAAGUUUAGAAGCACUAAAUGCGUGGUUAUGCAGUUCGUUUUCCUUGCUGCUGCUGUGGAAAUUAGAGUCUCAGCCCAGAACACAGUGACCUGCUUUACCCGUACGAGCAAGUGUUUUCUUAAGCGGCUUCACUGUCCAGCAGAGUGCCCGUUUAUCAAGCCGCCAAAGCCCAAAAGCCAAAGCGUGCUACCUAGACUGCAGAAAGUGUGAGGUAUCUUGCCGAGGUACGCUCACGCAUCUAACACUUGCCUUCUUUUUUCUGUUUUCAGUGUGAAUAGAAUUAUUCACAUCGACGAAAGAUAAACCAAACACUAAGGCCUUAUUUGGUCGCACUUAUGUUCUUUUGGCUUUUUUAAACUCAAAUUCUAUGCAUUUGAGCGCAAACCUAUACAUCUAUCACAUUUUCUUUGUCAGCAAAAAGCAAAAAGUUGAGUGGGUAACUUUUUUGCUUCAGUGUUUUCUUAAAAAGGAUGAGUUUGCAAGCUGGCCCAGGAUAACUGAAGGGCAAUGGAGAGAGUUGUCCCUCCGUGCCAGUGGCAUGCAAUCACAUUGAACUUGGGCUUUAAAGAAGCAAAAGCGCAACCGAAUGAGGCCCAAGGAUAAUACCUCCCAUAACUUUGAGUCUUAAUGAUUUGCCUGUAUUCUUUUAACACUGGAAUGUUCGUUAGAGUAUCAUGCAAGUAUUAGACUGCAGGGCGAAAACCAAGCUGCAACGGAUUAGGAUCGGAUUGCUAUGAUCCAUGGUUCAUUGGUGGAGACGGCAUUGUGUUCUACUUCCAUGGGAAGAGAGAUGAGCAUUUCAGCCUCGCGUCAGAUCCGAACAUCCAGAUCAAUGCCCGCUUCAUCGGCCUCCGCCCCGCAGGGAGAAAACAUGACUUCACUUGGAUCCAAGCACUUGGCAUCAUGUUCGCUUUUCACACCUUUACCAUCGAGGCCACGAGAGCCGAAUCAUGGGACAAAUCAAUCGAUCACCUUCAGUUCAUUUUUGAUGGCAAGAACAUUCGAGUCCCAGAAGGCCAUCUAUCCAACUGGAAUUCGUUUGACAACAGGCUGGUAAUUGAGAGAACUGAAAGGAGAAACAGCGUAACAAUCACAGUAGAGGGUAUUGCGGAGGUUUCACUUAAUGUGGUUCCUGUCUCUAAGGAAGAUGAUAGGAUCCAUAGCUACAACUUACCAGCCAAUGAUUGCUUUGCUCACCUGGAACUGCAGUUCAGAUUCUUUGGGUUGUGGCAAGAUGUUGAAGGAGUUCUAGGUCGGACAUAUCGUCCGGAUUUUGAAAGUACGGCGAAGCUGGGAGUAGAAAUACCUGUGGUUGGUGGGGAAGACAAGUAUAGGACUACUGCUCUCCUUUCUACAGACUGCAAGCUGUGCAUAUUUUCUCCAAAAGCUGAUAUCUAGAUGCUUGUAAGUGUUGUAUGUUGCCGAUUUCUUAUGAUGGUAUAAACUGUUGUGAGAAAAUUCAAGAAAGGAAAUGGUGUGAAUAGAUUUGGAUCUCUUGACGAAGUACAAGAAAAAUUAGAUUUAUGCAGGCUUCUUAGAUGGAAAUGUUAUCAUAGAAUUCUCUAAUUCAAUAAUGAUUAAAUACUUGAAGUAUAUUCAUGAAUUCUAGCGGACAAAAGAAGAGAGAUAUGUGAAACGAGGAUGGAUUGCUCUGUUUCGCGACAAAUGAGACACAAGAUUAGUUAUGCCAAAAAAAGUAAACGUGGUCUACUCUUAUCUUCUCAGAUACACAAUUAAGUCCCCAUUAUUCUAGUCAUGAAAAACCAAAUCAGAACCAAGAAUUGAACAUGGGAAUAUAAGCAAUACACCAGGGACCAAUUCAUUAUUAUAAAAUCAACUGCCAGUUAUAUUUCAAACUGAAAUUCGACCAUGUCUUACUUUUCUUUAACCAAAGUGGUGUACCAUAGAGCAUUUCUAUCAUGAAAUAAGCAAUAAAGUAGAACAACAGGUAUCACAUAUUUCAGUCCUCUGUGAAUAGUUAAUGCAACGACUAAAUCCUUUUAUUUUAAAUCUCAGUGCUGCACGGCAAAAGAAAAUUCAUCAUUCACAAUCACAAGCAAGAGAUGAACUUAAUGCCUUGUGGCAUAACUUCAACUUUGUGUAUUACAAUCAGACACAGAGAUGCACAAAAGAUUAGCAUAAAAGAAACAGAAGAUAAGACCUCAAAUUUAACAAGAAGGCGACUUCAACUCAACAUCCCGAUAGAAAUUAUGAAAAAAAAAAAGGAAGAAAAAUCUGAAAUCCAUUACAGAUUUUUAAAACAAAUCUCAUCUGCCCCGAGGAUUCACGAGCUGAGAGAACACGGCACUGGUGGCAGCAUCUUCAACAUCAUCCUCAGCAGCCGAGUUUACACCCUCAACCAUGCUCACACUGUUCUCAAAAGGCUCCAUUCUUGGCAAUAAAAUACCUGGAAUACUCUUUAUGCUGUUUUCAUCCGGGUCCGCAAGCGAAGUAGUUUCCUCGAGCUGAAGGGCAUACUCGAGAUUCCACAACACAUCCCCCAUCGUCGGCCUAUCAACUCCCUGCUCAGCCAAACAUUUCUCAGCUGUAUCCCCGUACUUCUUAAGGGAAGCGGUGUUGAUCUUCCCGGCCAACGUGGGGUCCACAAUAUGGUCCAGCAUGCCCUUCUUCUGCCAGCUCAUCGCCCACUCAGCAAUGUUGACCUGCUCUCUUGGGAGCACAGGGUUAAGAGCUGGCCUUGCGCACAGGACCUCCAUCAGCACAACGCCGAAUGAAUACACGUCCGACUUCUCUGUUAACUGCUGCCUCCGGAAGUACUCAGGAUCGAGGUAUCCGAAGCUGCCCUUCACUGCAGUGCUCACAUGGGUCUGAUCCAAACUGGGGCCCGUCUUUGAGAGACCAAAGUCUGCCACCUUCGCGACAAAGUUUUCAUCCAAGAGAAUGUUGGUGGUCUUUACGUCACGGUGGAUUAUGCUCUGAGCGGCUCCUGUGUGGAGAUAAUGCAAACCCCUCGCGGCCCCAAUGCAAAUCUCGAGGCGUUGCCUCCAAGAGAGCGGUGGAAGGUUGGAGCCGUAGAGAUGGCUCCUCAGCGGACCAUUUGCCAUAUAUUCGUAGACGAGGAUCAUCUCAGACUGUUCAUCACAGUAGCCGAUGAGCGAAACCAGGUGUCGAUGCCGGAGCUUGGAUAGCAUCUCAAUCUCAGUAUGGAACUCAGCUAGUCCCUGCUCAGACUUUGAAUUUCCUCUCUUCACAGCAACCUUUGUACCAUCAUCUAAAGUUCCCUUAUAAACCUUUCCAAAACCACCAACACCGAGAAGCAAACUCUCAUCAAACUUGUUCGUGGCAUCCAUGAUCUCCUGAAACAUGAAGACUCUGCCAAGGUUUGUAGACGCCAAAGAGAUGCAGCUUGCUGUUCCACUCUUAUGAGAAGUUGUUGACACUUUGCUGAUGGUAUGCGAGUUUCCAUAAAGGGGCAAAGGUAGCCAUGGGUGGCCACUAUGUGAGCUGGUUUUUGAUCUGCGAACAACAAAACAGCAGCAACACAGAGCAACUAAUGCCACAGCAGCUAAUGAUCCAACGACAACACCGAUUAUUAUAGCCAACUUGCUUCUCUUAGAUGAUGAAUCAGGCAGUAGAUCUCCAACAGCAUAUAGCCCAUCCAAGCUUUUCUUCCCAUUACUAAUCUUCAUAAUCUCCAAACCAUUCAAUAUCGCAUUGCUGAAGUCAGCCAUCGCGUCCGGACCAAUGCUAACCGUCAAGUUAUUAGAACCACUCGAGGAAUUCGCGACAAAGUCCUUAUAGUAUGGCACAGACAAAUCGCCCUUUAGAGAUGACAAGUCCAAACUUGCAAUGGCGAUGUCUGUAUUCACAUAGACAUUGAAGACAAGAGUAUUCAGGGCCUUACUCACAAUAUCGCAGAAGUGAAGGCGAAUCAAGUAAGAGAAGCUCGGAUCCACGGAGAAAACCCAUGUGACAUUAAAGUUUAAGUUUGUAACAUUAGGAUCGCCCAUUGCUUCUGCAGUGGCAUAAACCCAUUUCGGUGCAAUCUCUGCGGUGACUCCAUCAUGAUACUUUAUGGUAAUAGGAUCCACAGAAACCUUGACGGCAGAGCUAUUAACAUGAAGAUACUUGCCAUCAGCUUCCCAAUUUCUCCCCAGUGAAUCAUUCUGGGGAGUCAGCAGAGGGCCUCCCAUAUUCAGGCGAUACAUGGUUUCAAGACCAAGCUCUGAUAGACCACUGAAAGGACCAUCUGGUAUGGAAAGAGCUUGAUCGUAGAUCAAUUCAUCAGGCACCGAAACGACUUGGAUGCCAUUCACGAACGAUACGGAGCCGUUUGACGGGAUAAACGUGAGGGUCAAUUCAUCAGAGGUCACAUUCACCAAGUACUCCUUGAAGAGAUAAGGCUGCUUGGAGUUCUUAAAAGUGAAGUUACUCAUCAGGACAAACUCAUCGGUCACAACAGUUAUGGGAGCAGAGAGAAGGUCAUGACCUGAAUUUGGAAGAGGGAAGUAAUAGAGCCGGAUCCAGUGGCGGCCGGGCUGCUGGAUGUCAAACUCGUAAUGCGCGGGUUGAGAAAAGAUGCGAAGGGAUUGGUAUACAGGAGAUGGAAGAGAAACUGAAUUCGGCACGAAGAAGGUUCCAUCUCCAGAAGUUCUAAGGACUAAGGAGGACUGUUGUGAAUCAGGAACGAAGAUUUGGCCUUGAAAUGUGACAUUUUGUGAAGACCCACAAGCGAUAAGGUAGUUGUCAGCUGGGGUGAAUGCAGCAGAAGAGACAUCAGGAAAAACAGCAACGAGUGCAAGAGAGGAGACCAAGGAAGCCAAAGUCAACAGCCUCAUACUUUCCAUCACCAACAGUUAGUGAAUUGAGUAACGAAAAUGUAGCAAUCUCAAUUUCCCGAGCGCUCGUUAAUUCGAAAGCCCGACAUAUAUAUAUAUAUAUAUAUCUCGCAAUUCUCUAGCUGCAAGUCCCCGCGGGAAAAAAAAAGAAUUCUAAAAUCAUACAAAUGAUAUCAACAGGAAAUGCAGAAUUGGAAACUACCACCCAAAUCUUCUUUCUGGGGUUGCAGAAGUCAAUGCCCAAACAAACCAAAGAAGACUUCAAGGAGAGAAAAUGUGAGACCCUUUCUUCAAUACCAACUCCUGAUACCUCCACAACCCUCGAGACCAAAUUAAAUUACAGUAUUCUGAAAGUGUAGCUAAAGCAAGUAAACCUCAGGAGAAGCAAAACCCAGGUGCCAGUAAGAACGGACAACAUGGAAAAAGAAAAAAGGAAAUUAAAAAAAAAAAAUAAAGGACAAAAAGAAAAACCCAAACAGCGGAAGAGGAAAAGGGCAGCACUGGAAAGCCCAAGAUAGAUAGAUCCUAAAAGAUGCUCAGAUCUGCGAAGAAACAGCCUUCAAAGCCGAAAUGUACUCGGGAGUAGAAUAAGGAUCUCAGAAGCAGAGAGACAUGAAGAAGAGCAAUCUAUGAAGAUGGGAACUUGGGCACCGUGCAUGUCGUACCUCCCACAGGGAAAGAGGCCCAGCACCAGCACCAGCACCAGCACCAGCACCGGCACCAGUGAUCCCCAGGGGAAAGUGGUAGAGAAAUUGCCGCAAAUCAAGAGACUAUAUCCUCUGAGGCCUUUUGUUCGAGAAUCGAAAACCCCAGAGAAGAGCAACCUCUUUCCAGCCUGUGGUUUGCUUAGGCUGUCAAUCUACUCUACAGAGAUGCAAAGCAAAGCAAAGCAAAGCAAAGCAAAUACGACAGGACCCACCUCAUAUUACCUCCUUUUUCACCCAUCAUUUAACUCAACUCGGCAGAAGAGAUCGGAAAGUUACAAAUAGAUAAAUAAAUAGAGGAGUGAAGGAGAUAAUGACCAACUUUUGGUUGGAUGCCCAGCCCAUCCAGGAGCAUUCAGAACCCUAGUGGGCUGCCCGGCUGGCUUUCUCUUGAUUCCUGCAAAUGCAGCCUUAAAUGGGAGUAACCACCAUGAUGUGGAUCUCUCUCUCUCUCUCUCUCUCUCUCUCUCUCUCUCUCUCUAGUCUCUACAAACUGAGAGCUUUUAGUAUUUAGGAGAUCGAGGAGAAAGGCAUGGGGGUUAUUUAUGCUUAUUUAUUAGCUACCCUCCCUGUUCCUAUUCCUACUUUUUUAUGUUUAUAGGUCUCCUUUCCUUCUAACUGAAAUAAUGACAACUAAUUAAUGAAUAUAAUCUUCUGAGAUUUUGUUUGUUUGUUUGUUUGUUUUUUUUUGGUUUUCUUUUCCUUCACCAGCUGAUCAUACUGAUUACUUAAACUGCAUGAAGGGAAGAGGAGUGAGGCAAGGGACAAAGGAGAGACCGGGGAGAUGGAUUGGAGAUGGAGUGGGCCACGCGGAUGGGGAGAGCGCAUGUGCCCUCGCGCCGCUGCUGGGAGGCCAUACUGUUUAACGGCGCUAUCCCCUCACGUGAAUAUCCAGCUGUUCCCUUACGCGCCACCUAACGGCGUGUAACGGCUCCGCUAAUCGCGGGAGCGUAUUGUUUAUCUGUUCUGUAACCGUUGGAAACACAUUUAUACUUGAUUUUUAAUAUAUUUGAAAUCUCUCUCUCUCUCUCUCUCUCUCUCUCUCUCUCUCUCUCUUCACUUAAGAAGAUUUAGAAUCUCUCUCUCUCUCUCUCUCUCUCUCUCUCUCUUUUCACUUAAGAAGAUUUAGAAUCUGCAGGCGGGCCGCGUGAGGCGGGAGAGAAGCAGAGGGGGCCGGCCGGCCCGGGCAAAGAGAGCCGCGAAGGACUGCGCCAGCCCCACUGCAAUUGCCAACUUCACCUGCCCGCGCCUCGGGAUCGGACGGCUUGAAAGCCGCCUCCUUCUCAUGACGCCGCUGCCGCUGCCGCCGCCGCGGUUGAAUCUCCUCCUUCCGGCCAUCUCUGCCGAUCUUUAUUAGAUAUCUUAAGUUCUCCCGCCCGGAGCUGUAAGUCUAACUAACAGUGAGCAGCCGAAUGAAACUUAAUAGAGAUCGAGAGGAGAGGAAGGCAGAGGAGCUUAUAUAGCUUCCGAGCUUAUCGACGUAGAAUGCGUGAACGUGCCACUCGAGAAACAUGGAGGCUGUAUGCGAUCUCAUCAUCCAACGUCGUUGGAGUUGGCCACGGUAUCAACGGGAUGAUCCGACGGAUGAGGCUUGCGUCCGACAUCUUCAUCUUCGGAUACCGAGCCUGGCAGUUCGUAAGUAACGUCGCCACAGCCCCACGAACAAACAAACUGUCACCCUGUAAGGAAAAUCACGGUAUAAAACUAAUAAAUAAAUAACCGAUGGGUAAAAAACAAAGAAGAGAAAUUUUUUUAAAAAAAAAAAUGAAGGUCGGAAAGAGUUACCCUGCCCACUAAUCGAAGCCUUGUUUAAGAGGAAUCUCGAAGUAAAAAAUGAGAAGAGUGGAAUGGAACACGAGAUGGGAUUGGUUCCGUGGUCUAGGGUGUCGUAGAUCAAGGGCCUCAUCCUUAGUCCUUUUCUUCGGCUAACACUUAACACUUGUGCUAGGGCUAAAAAAAUGUGUUGGAUCUGAUGGGCUCCGUAGUUUGCAGAGUGCCGGACAUUGGUGAGAAGUGAAGAAGCCUAUAAAAGGUGGUCUUUUUUUCUUUUUUUUCUUUUUUUUCUUUUUUUUUUUUCAUUUAGCCUUCUCAAUUUUUUGUUUUACAAAUACCUAAACAUAUAUAUAUAUAUAUAUAUAUAAAACCUUAUUUUUACAACGCGAACAUCACAUUGAUAUUUUAAAUUAAAUACAGUGAUUAAAUAUAAUAAUUCAAUCACUGUUUAAAUAUGUGAUUAAAUCAUGAUGUUUAACUUAAAAAUAUCACUUAAACACUCAGCGUAGCAAAAAAUUAAAUAUUUAUACAAAUAUAAAUUUAUUAAGACCAUUUAUUUUUAAAAAAAUUGAGAUCGCUAAAUGCAAAAAAAGCUCACUAUAAAAUUCAAAGGAAAGAGAUAUCAAAGAGCCAACCAGUGCUUUUCCAAACAUUUUGCUGCAACUCACGAAAAGAUAAUCAGUUUCCGUUUGUGAAAGGGGUAAAAAAAAAAAAAGACAAGACGAAGAAAAUAAGCAAACUGCUUGCACUAUUAAUUUGGAACAAUAUACAGCUUUUGGGAAGACCAAUUUUCCAUUAAUACAAAGUCACCUAUCAAUAGGAAGGGGGUCCGGUCCCCCACACACCUCUCUUAAUUAAAAAGAAGCAAUUUAAUCGGGCUUACAAACUUGUUAAAACAAAAUAGAGACAGCAGAAGAGCAAUAUACAUUUUAGUUCUCUUAAAAUAUACAUAGAUAUUGAAAAUGCUAGUUUGAUUCUCAUUACUCACAGAAAAUCACAAUAAGAAUUUGAAUGACACCCACGGAAGACUUGCAAGCCGAUCAUGAGCACCUCAACAAUCGCUUUUGAAAAUGAGGCAGGAUCUCAGCUUGUUCACACGCGCGCACACACACACGCACAGACCACUUAGGCAGAGGGAUCAAUUUUAAGAACCACCUCCAUUCCAAUAUCCCAAUAUAAUAAGAUUACGAAAGAUAAAGGCAUAAAAACAUAACUCUACAGGUAAGCACAGAAUCUGCACAUCCAGAUACAUUCAUAGCAUCGUUUCCACAGAGCACUGAUGACACUGAAUAUCCAUCUGCAGAACAAACCAUCUGUAGCUAAUUACCAUGGCUACAGAAAUUUUUGUGCACAACGAAUGACACUGACAGAGCAAACAUUGCUUUGUAAAAGACCAAUUAUAACAAAAUGUAUAAAGCAUUUAGUUUGUAUAUGGGGUUAUAACUACUCUUUCAAGACCAAGUGUUUUCCUCUUAAGCACAACUGACAGAGGAAUAGAGUUCAGGUAAUAAAACACAAGCAUGAAGUAUACUUCACUGAAUCUGUACAGCACUCUCCAGUAAAUUACAGAAAGAAACCAAAUAUAUUUCAACUCGAAAGUCUAAAAAUUAGACUAGAUAGCCGUAAAAUUCUCGAACACAUGAAAUCAAGUGUGAUAGUAGCUGACCAUCAACCAUGAUCAAUGAAAUGGCACCGGUGCAUGCAAUCAUUUCCUUCAACAAAGUAACCUGGAAUCGUCUGAUACAUAUAUAAGCGUCAAAAUGCUGCCCUCAUAGCACCACGUGCUGCCUCACGCUUCAUCUCUGCAGCUUUACCACUUCCUCGGAAGUACAUAUAUACUUGCUGCAUCAAUAACGGUAAAUGAUAAAGCAAAAAUUGAUGGCAAAAAAAAAGUCCUCUUUUCCAACUAAACUUGGAUUAAGCCUCAAGGAAAAAGCACCCUAAAUAUGCAAAGAAAGAUAAGUUUAUUGUCUUUAUUAAAUUAUAUGGAAACCAGAAAAAAUUUUUCUAUACUAUUUACUGCAAGAUCAAUAUCUCUGAUCCGAAAAUAUUUUAGUGUUAUAUCACCAUUUUUUGUGAGAUUUUUAUUUCCAGCAAUUAAUUUUGAAACCCUUUCAAUAUAGUAAAAUGAUAUCAAAAAAUUGCAAAAUUUUAUUUCUAGAUACUUCAAAUACGCGUAAUCAAAUUGAACAAGAUCCGAUCGUCGAUUCGGAAGCUCCAUCAUCGAAAACGGCUUAGAGCGACAGAGGCCUCCGUGCUCCUAAUAACACACAAAACCUACUCCUAGCCUGGUAUACUACCGAUAGCACGAAGCCUCCUGUGCUACAAGUUGUUUUCAAAUAUGCGGCUUCCAAAUCGACGAUCGACUUCGUUAGACUUGAUCUACACUAUUAAAAAUAUUUGAAAACUAAAUUUCAUGAUUUUUCGACAUCAUUUGCUAGUGAUCAAAAAGGUCUCAAAAUUGACAAUUUUAAUGGCAGAUUGAAUGCGUUUGAGUUUAAUACACGGUGUAAAACAAUCCAAAUCUAUGAAAUUUUAUAGAAAAUCUUUUUUACUAUUUAGAGUAAGAUCAGUAUAUCUGAUCUUAAAUUCAAGUCUUCUAUCAUCAUUUUUUAUGAGAUUUUUUAUUUUCAGCUGUUUAUUUUUUAGACUACUUGUGAUAGGUAAAUGAUGAUUCGAAAAAUUAUGAAUAUAGUUCCAAAUACUUUCAAUAGUGUAGAUUAAGAUUAACAGAGCCGAUCGCGAUUUGGAAGCGGCAUCAUUGAAAAACAACUUGUAGCACGGAGGCUCCGUGCUACCGAUAGUAUACCAACCUAGCUCUAUAUAUAUUAUUACACACAUAUAAUAGACAUAUAUAUAUAUAAUAUAUAUAUAUAUAUAUAUAUAUAAAGUGGGCUUACUAUACUCUUAUGUGUACGAUCUGCCCUCCGUACUCAUAAUGUGUGUUUUCGAUAUAGAGCUUCCGAAUCGAUGAUCCCACACUGUCAAGCGGUAAUAAAAUGAACGUCAAAAAUCAAAACGGUGUCCUCAAAUGGAUGAUCGAUCCUUCAAUUUAAGAUCGGACUUAUUGACUUUAUUUAGGUAGUGAAUAAAUUUUCUAUUCAAAAUUCAACUGAUUCCGAUUCUUUUACACCGUAAACUAGCGGUAACCCAUACCGACCGUUAAAAGUUGCAAUUUUGUAACAUUUUUGAUCGUAGGUAAAUGAUUCGACAAAAUUAUAAAAUUUGAUUUCUACCAAUUUUUAAAUGCUCGAGGUAAUGUUUAACGGUAUGGAUCGUCGACUUCAGAGUUCUAUCAUCGAAACAAACUUAUUGAUAUGAGGGCAAUCAUACUCAUAAGAGUAUAAGUAGUCGACCUCAUAUAUAUAUAUAUUAUAUAUAUAUAUAUAUAUAUAUAUAUAUAUAUAUAUAUUAUAUAAUAUAAUAUAUAUAUAUUAUACGAGGGCAAUCAUACUCAUAAGAGUAUAGUAGUCGGACAUCAUAAUAUAUAUAUAUAUAAUAUAUAUAACGUAGNNNNNNNNNNNNNNNNNNNNNNNNNNNNNNNNNNNNNNNNNNNNNNNNNNNNNNNNNNNNNNNNNNNNNNNNNNNNNNNNNNNNNNNNNNNNNNNNNNNNNNNNNNNNNNNNNNNNNNNNNNNNNNNNNNNNNNNNNNNNNNNNNNNNNNNNNNNNNNNNNNNNNNNNNNNNNNNNNNNNNNNNNNNNNNNNNNNNNNNNNNNNNNNNNNNNNNNNNNNNNNNNNNNNNNNNNNNNNNNNNNNNNNNNNNNNNNNNNNNNNNNNNNNNNNNNNNNNNNNNNNNNNNNNNNNNNNNNNNNNNNNNNNNNNNNNNNNNNNNNNNNNNNNNNNNNNNNNNNNNNNNNNNNNNNNNNNNNNNNNNNNNNNNNNNNNNNNNNNNNNNNNNNNNNNNNNNNNNNNNNNNNNNNNNNNNNNNNNNNNNNNNNNNNNNNNNNNNNNNNNNNNNNNNNNNNNNNNNNNNNNNNNNNNNNNNNNNNNNNNNNNNNNNNNNNNNNNNNNNNNNNNNNNNNNNNNNNNNNNNNNNNNNNNNNNNNNNNNNNNNNNNNNNNNNNNNNNNNNNNNNNNNNNNNNNNNNNNNNNNNNNNNNNNNNNNNNNNNNNNNNNNNNNNNNNNNNNNNNNNNNNNNNNNNNNNNNNNNNNNNNNNNNNNNNNNNNNNNNNNNNNNNNNNNNNNNNNNNNNNNNNNNNNNNNNNNNNNNNNNNNNNNNNNNNNNNNNNNNNNNNNNNNNNNNNNNNNNNNNNNNNNNNNNNNNNNNNNNNNNNNNNNNNNNNNNNNNNNNNNNNNNNNNNNNNNNNNNNNNNNNNNNNNNNNNNNNNNNNNNNNNNNNNNNNNNNNNNNNNNNNNNNNNNNNNNNNNNNNNNNNNNNNNNNNNNNNNNNNNNNNNNNNNNNNNNNNNNNNNNNNNNNNNNNNNNNNNNNNNNNNNNNNNNNNNNNNNNNNNNNNNNNNNNNNNNNNNNNNNNNNNNNNNNNNNNNNNNNNNNNNNNNNNNNNNNNNNNNNNNNNNNNNNNNNNNNNNNNNNNNNNNNNNNNNNNNNNNNNNNNNNNNNNNNNNNNNNNNNNNNNNNNNNNNNNNNNNNNNNNNNNNNNNNNNNNNNNNNNNNNNNNNNNNNNNNNNNNNNNNNNNNNNNNNNNNNNNNNNNNNNNNNNNNNNNNNNNNNNNNNNNNNNNNNNNNNNNNNNNNNNNNNNNNNNNNNNNNNNNNNNNNNNNNNNNNNNNNNNNNNNNNNNNNNNNNNNNNNNNNNNNNNNNNNNNNNNNNNNNNNNNNNNNNNNNNNNNNNNNNNNNNNNNNNNNNNNNNNNNNNNNNNNNNNNNNNNNNNNNNNNNNNNNNNNNNNNNNNNNNNNNNNNNNNNNNNNNNNNNNNNNNNNNNNNNNNNNNNNNNNNNNNNNNNNNNNNNNNNNNNNNNNNNNNNNNNNNNNNNNNNNNNNNNNNNNNNNNNNNNNNNNNNNNNNNNNNNNNNNNNNNNNNNNNNNNNNNNNNNNNNNNNNNNNNNNNNNNNNNNNNNNNNNNNNNNNNNNNNNNNNNNNNNNNNNNNNNNNNNNNNNNNNNNNNNNNNNNNNNNNNNNNNNNNNNNNNNNNNNNNNNNNNNNNNNNNNNNNNNNNNNNNNNNNNNNNNNNNNNNNNNNNNNNNNNNNNNNNNNNNNNNNNNNNNNNNNNNNNNNNNNNNNNNNNNNNNNNNNNNNNNNNNNNNNNNNNNNNNNNNNNNNNNNNNNNNNNNNNNNNNNNNNNNNNNNNNNNNNNNNNNNNNNNNNNNNNNNNNNNNNNNNNNNNNNNNNNNNNNNNNNNNNNNNNNNNNNNNNNNNNNNNNNNNNNNNNNNNNNNNNNNNNNNNNNNNNNNNNNNNNNNNNNNNNNNNNNNNNNNNNNNNNNNNNNNNNNNNNNNNNNNNNNNNNNNNNNNNNNNNNNNNNNNNNNNNNNNNNNNNNNNNNNNNNNNNNNNNNNNNNNNNNNNNNNNNNNNNNNNNNNNNNNNNNNNNNNNNNNNNNNNNNNNNNNNNNNNNNNNNNNNNNNNNNNNNNNNNNNNNNNNNNNNNNNNNNNNNNNNNNNNNNNNNNNNNNNNNNNNNNNNNNNNNNNNNNNNNNNNNNNNNNNNNNNNNNNNNNNNNNNNNNNNNNNNNNNNNNNNNNNNNNNNNNNNNNNNNNNNNNNNNNNNNNNNNNNNNNNNNNNNNNNNNNNNNNNNNNNNNNNNNNNNNNNNNNNNNNNNNNNNNNNNNNNNNNNNNNNNNNNNNNNNNNNNNNNNNNNNNNNNNNNNNNNNNNNNNNNNNNNNNNNNNNNNNNNNNNNNNAGAGAGAGAGAGAGAGAGAGAGAGUCCUGCUAUAGUUCUUGUAAAAGCACCAAGCACUUGGUGCUUGUAAAUUUUUUACCGUUAGAUCUAACCCUUUUAUCAUUUCCAUCCAUUAGAUUAUACUAUUCAACCAACCACCCACUCAACCCUAAGGGGCCCACAUCAUCCUAACCGCACAUCUCUUAAUCCAAUGGCCAAAAAUCUACAAGCACCAAUAACUUAGUACUUUUAAAAGCAUAGGAGCUUAAUUUUAUAUAUAUAUAUUCAACAGUAUUCUUUGACAAAUAUGUGAAUAAAGGUCACUAGAAAUAGUAACUAUCAUGCUUAGCAACAAGAGUACUAUUCAACAUAGAGAAGGAAUAGACUACUAUACAAGAUGUGAUUCAUUUAGUUUUUCCCCAAAUUCUAAUCAAUAUUGAGAUCGACUAUAAGAAAAGACAGCCACCACUUUAUCUUCAAAUGAAAAAGAAAAAGAAAUAUCCACCUGAAUGACCCAAAUGCUGAGCAGAGACUCGAGGCAGAAUAAUCCAAAUCCCACAAAGUAAAAUAUCUGCAAGUAAAUAGAAUAGGGUGAGGUAGGAAUUGUGAACAAAAGAAAACUAAGGGUAGGUUUGGUUCCCUAUAAAACUAGCCCAAAAAGUAUUUUUGAUUUGAAAAACAGUUCUCCGAUCAUUUGGUUCUACGUAAAAUUGCUUUCUCGUAAAAAUAUUUUACAAAUUUUGGGACAAAAAACUAGGUUUUCGUUUUCUGCUGGUUUUGAGUGGAAAACAAAAACUCCUCAGCAAAGCAACGCGGCUCACCGCCUGGGUCAUACGCGGACUUCUCCUCGUGGACUACGUGAGAGAGAGGUCUACGGUGGACCUAUCUCUAAAUAUAUAUAUAUAUAUAUAUAUAUAGUAGGUCUUGUGUGCUACUAGGAGCACGGAGGCCUCCGUGCUCCUAAGUCGUUUACGAUGAUGGAGCUUCCGAGUCGAAGAUCAAUUCCUUUAGACUUGAUAUAGCGUAUUUGAAGUAUCUAGAAAAAAAAAAUUUGUGAUUUUUCGAUAUCAUUUACCGAGCGAUCGAAAGGUUCAAAAUCAACGAUUGAAAAUAAAAAUCUCACAAAGAGUGGUGAUAUAGCACUAAAAUUUUCGAUCAGAGAUAUUGAUCUUGCAGUAAAUAGUAUAAAGAAUUUUCUAUCAAAAUUUCAUCUGAUUUGAAUACUUCUACACUCUUAAACUUGCAAACAAUAUACAUCAACUAUUAAAAGUCGUUGAUUUUGAACCCUUUCGAUUGCUAGAUAAAUGAUAUCGAAAAAUCGCAAAAUUUAUUUUCUAGAUACUUUAGAUACGUUACAUCAAGUCUAACGAAGCAGAUCGUCGAUUCAGAAGCUCUAUCAUCAAAAAUAGCUUAGAAGCACGGAGGCCUCCAUGCUCCUAAUAGCACACAAGACCUACUAUAUAUAUAUACACAUAUUAUUUUUGAAUAUAUUUAUUUAUUUAUUAUAUAGUAUUAAAUAUAUAAUUAGUAUGUAUUAUAUUACGUACUUAUUAUAUAAAAUAAUUUUGAGUAUGUUUAAUUUACAAUAUAAAUUUAUAAUAAUAAUAUAUAUAGUAUAGUACGGUAACUGUUAUAUAAAAUAAUAUGUAAUACAUAUAAUAAAAAAUAUAUAUAUAUAUAUAUAAAAUAGUUUUUCAUCUAUGUUUUUCUUUUCCAACAAACCAAACAAGUCUCGCUGGGAAACUAAUUUUCCUUCCACAAACCAAACACUAAAAAGCGUACAACUCAUUCAACUUUCGAAAAAAAUUUCCAUCGAAAAUUAUUUUUUUAAAAUUUUACGUGGAAUCAACCAGCCCCUAAGCAAAAAAUCCUAUUCAGUACAGAACCAUAAGAAAAUUGCAGCAUUCCCUCAGCUGGUCUCUUAUAAAGUAUGUUGAAUCAACUAUCAAAUUAGAAAUAAAGCUAUGUCAAAUAUUCAAUUGAGUACAAAACCAAGUUUGCGAAAUGUGUUAUGUGAUGCUUCUUUGUUGGUCAAGUCAGAAAGGACAGAAUGGUGUGAUAACAGAAGUGUAGCUAAAAAGCUUGGUCAUGCCAUCUAUAAUAUAUGAUUGCAUAUAUGGUUUCCACUAAGUGUAGCUAAAAUCAGGACUAAUAAUUUGUAGUGGCAAUUAUAGAUUAUCGGUCACUUGUGUAGAUUAAAGGUAUGGUUAUUUUGGGAACAAACUCGAGCGGGGUUACAUCUUAUAUCAAGGUUAUCCCACCAUAUUAGCAUAACUAUGAGAACACAGCUAAUUUUCUGUGUAGUUUUAAAUGAUAGAAAUAACUCCAAAGGUAAGAACAACUACAAAAAGCAGCUACAACAUCAGCAACAACAAAAACUGUAAUCAUUACAGGGAUAAACUAGAGAAAAACGUUGGCUAUCAAAAUUAUCAAUACAGAAGGAUAAUGAGUUAUUGCCCUGUAUUUUUCCUCUAGGCUCCCAACCAAACAGUGGCUAAGAAGCAUAGCAUUAUGUCAGUAGAAAUGCACCUUAUCUGCUAUAUCGAAAAAAUAGACAUAUCAGGCACAUUUAAUACUACUGCUACUCAACAUGUAACGUAAACGUACUCCGACUAUGACACUAUUCCCUAUGACGUCAAUCGCUAGCAAGAUUCCUCUGCAAAAAGAUCAUACACAUAAAAAAAACAUAGAUUAGUGAAUGAAAAUUUUCUUUGAUAAUGCAAGGGUGAUAGUUUUCUUCAAACUAAUAAAUUAGUGAAUGGGUAUGUCACCGUACAAAAGAACUACAAUAGUUUAAGAUUCCUUCAAAAUGCAACUAAAUUUUCAACCCUCUUCAUUUGUAGGGGCACAAACAAUCUGCCACUCUACAGAAUAUGUAGAAGUCCAAGGUUCGAAGCAAGAGUAAGCAUACCUUCCACAGAGGUGUUAAUAUGCACUUCUAUAAUGUACAAGAGUUGGCAAUAAAGACAGGUAUCUUUAUAUGCAAUGCUAUCAAACAUAAGAUUUAGCAAUUAGCACAGUUCACAACUCGCGGUAAUACCAAAGGACUACUCGAUGGACCAGUACUUCUCUCUUGGUAAAAGGAAGAUCGAUGGGGAGAUCGAUGACUCUUUGGAGUGUGCCCAUGAUAUGGAAUGAGAAGGCAUCCUUGUGCGAGAGAAUGGAUUGAGGUUGGAACCUUAACUCGCGGAGUGAGGUGAUAAGGCUAGCUUCGAGCAAAGCGGUGACAGCGUUGGUGGCUCGAGGUAGCAUACAUGUAUCCAUUGGAUGGAUGACAUGGGUUCUGCUUAUAGGAUUAGUGAAGGUUGUGGCAGAGCCGGAACUAGCAGAGCGGAAUGUGGGGCAUUGAGAAUGCCGAUGAGGUCUGAGUGCGCUUGGUGGUGGAGCGACUCAGAGUGGGGGAGCAUGUUUGGUCAUUAAGUGUUCCCAUGUGCAUUGACUCGGUGAAGGAACUCGUCUAUGACAGGAAGUGGGAUACAACACAUGUGGUAAAAGAGUUCGCUUUGUGGAGCUCAAGUUGGAAGUCUAGGCCGACGAAUCCAUGGUAGUAACAGCUAGGCGUUGGACUAGGUAGUGAAGGGGACCAAGGAUUGCGAGAGAGCUUAGCACUUCUCUUGGUGCGAGAAGGCCGAUGUGGAGAUCGGUUGCUCUUUACAAUGUGCUCACGAGUUGGACAGAUGAGACAUCCUAAAUCGGGUGAGGUGUGUGUGAAUUCACCAGGGAUCAUGGUGCUGGUUGGAGUAUGGACAGUUCGCAACUGCGGGAAGGGUCGAGGUAUCGAAGUUCUGUAAGGGCGGUGCGCGCGGGGCAGCGGCAUUGCCGUGGCAAUCAGACUUGCGGUUUAGACUAAGCAGAGAGUGAACUGAGUUCCGUUCAGCGAUUAUCAUGAGGGUGGUUUCCCUAGAGUUGGGAAAUGGCAAGUUGCGAGCGAAUUGAGACAAGGCGUCCGGUGGGCUCGAACUUGGCCAAGGACUUUGAUUGCGAAUCGAAGUGGAGUUUUGCGAGAGCCUAACAAAGAGGGGCUCGAGCGGCUUGUGGGACAAAGGCUAAAGGUGCCGUGCAUCAACAAGUAGCUGAAAUGCAAAGCAGUCAAGAGGCAUGACAAGGGUCCGUGGUGAAGUCAGUAGAGCAGGAAGUAGUCGAGGCUGGCUAGUCCCGACGAAAGACUUGAAAGCUUGAGGAGACCAUGGGGGGAGCUCGACGUUGUGCGAUCGCUAGGGUCCCUUGGGGAUGGCAGCGACAGGAUCUCGUAGAGACAGGUGUUCGGCAUCACUGGUGGUUUUGAUCGCUUGUUGCGAGUGGCAACUCUAUUCACCUAGUGACGGACAUGCAUUGGUUUUAUGUUUGAGUGUUGAGCAGGCUAAAUUGUUGGCUCAACCGGUACUGGCAGCCUUAGACCUUUUCGGUCUAGGCAAAUGGUUAGGUGUUGGACCUAAGAGAGUUGGAUGCCAUCAAUGGGUUCCGAUGGAUAAAUUUUGGCUUUGUCAGAUUAUAGUUUGGUUCGUUAGAAGGUUGUAGCCUCCGAGGUGUGUGUUGGUAAUCUAGCGUAGGAUCACCCCUAUCUGUGAGCAAGUUUCGAGGACGAAACUUUCUUUAAGGGGGGGAUGAUGUAAGGACCGAGAUUUUGGCAGUGUAGCUAAACUCUCAGUUACGAUGUUUUUGUGUUUAAUUUAAUUACAAAAGCACUCGUCAAGUUUCGGGAGAAACUGAGCUAGAACUGAUUCUACGCGAUUUCCAAGUUUCACUUAAAGUAAAUAGUAACUCGGUUUUCCGGAGAAGCCACGGUGCGAAGUUGGCUUCUAGCGCGUAUCAGACUCCGUUCAUAGCAGUCCAAUAGCUCGUUUCGAAUGGUUUGGUUAUUCUAGAACCGAUGGCGCUAACGGAUUUUGAGUUUGACACACGGAUUUCGAGAAAAUCAGAAAAUACGUGUUUUAUAUGUAUUUGUGCGUAGUUCUUAUGUUGGAGAAAUGGAUCGGAUUUCGUCAUGAAUCCGUGAAGGAUCGAGGCGAAAAGAAAUUGUGAAUUUGUUGUCUCCAUCGUGCUGAUCGCACUGGUGCGAUCCGUUCGCAAAUCUGACGGACGGAUCUACGGAUAUCGCGCGUUGAUCAAGGAGAGGUCGGUGAGGGCAAAACAAUAUUUUCGUGAAAGUCACGACAUUUUAUAUACCGUUUUGCGUGAGAUCGUACGUGGAGGGGUAUUCGCGUGUUUUACACGCGCUGUGAGGGACUUAGUAUGAAAUACGAAAGUUUGAUGGGCUUUUUCACAAUUUGCACCUUAUAUAUAUAGUGUAUUUAGGGUUGUCUACCUUGGAACCUAACCCUAGCCAUCCCUAGCUAACCCUAGUCGCCCCAGCCACCUUCACCUCGCUCCCCUGCUCUAGCUGCACGCCCUCGGCAGCGGGCGGCUGAGCCCCGGCCACCGCCGAGCCAUUGUUUUCCUCCCUCUCCAUUUCUCUCUCCUUCCACCUUUCUUCAUCUCGGGUUAGGGGAAAGCCCGAGGUUGCUCUCCUCUCUGACGCUUCCCGUGGAGCCCCGGCGACCNUCUCCAUUUCUCUCUCCUUCCAUCUUUUUUCAUCUCGGGUUAGGGGAAAGCCCGAGGUUGCUCUCCUCUCUGACGCUUCCCGUGGAGCCUCGGCGACCAUCCCCGGCCGACCGCCGCCUCCACUGCUGGCCGCCGCCGCCGCCACUGCGGGCCGCCGCCGUGGCGACCACGACCAUCCUGCAGCCGCCCCAGGUCUGCUCGGGCCGAGCAGACCUGGUAGCUCCAACCCCACGCUGCAGCCGCCCUUGUUCACCCCUGCGGCCUCCAUCAUAGCCUCCGGCACCCCCUCCCCCGGCCGAAAGGGUCGCCGCCGCUGCCACGCGCCUUGGGCGCCGCCACCCAGGGCUAAAGACCGAGCCAAGCUCGGUGCGGUUGCGCCCAAGCCGCGGGCUGCCGCCGCCGUCGCCCACCGCAUCCUCUUCCCCCUCCGGCCUCUGGGGACUCGCCGCCGACGCCCCCGACCUGCCCCGGCCGCCGCCGUGGCCGCAGCAGCCCCUGGACCCGUGCCCUAGCUCGUGCGGGCUUGCCUUGUUCCGCCGCCGCCGCCGCCGCUUCCAGCCGCCACCCUACGUGAGCUUGGUACUCCUCACCUCCCCCGCAACCUUCCCUGGCCCGCGCACACCCCGCCGUGCCGUCGGUGGCCGGCCGGAGCAAGCUUGCUCCGGCCAAGCCCGAAAUAGGGCUUAAUUGAGUAGGUUUGCUGUUUCGAGCUACCCGAGGCUCCCCGACCUCUGCGGAAGGGAGCAUGGUGAUCGUGGCAACCUUCUGAUCAUCGUGCUCACCUUAGAUUUUGUCGGGGAGACUCCGUUCCGCUGUUUCGGCGGUGUCGACCCUGUUGAGCCUUUUCGGCUGUAGUUCCGUGCUUGCGCGUGUUUUUUCGGCGAUCCGAGGCUGUUCCGAUGCUUCCGGAGGUGAGUACGGUGAUCCUUGGUCAGUGAUGAUCACAGUGCUCACCUUACUUUGAAUCAGCGGAUGUCGUAUCGGCCUGUUCGGCGCGAUUUUCCUCGACUGCGCGCUAUUCGCUGAACCUUCGGGUUGCUCCCGCGCUUCCCACAGUGAGCCGUUGUGCUUCGGAUCGUGAGCACGGCCUACGGUACAUCGAGACCAAGCAGUACAUCGUGAGCACGGCCUAUGACUUUACUAACUAUUACAAUAGUUUCAUCAUUCUUAUUUACAUUAUUUUCUUUAAGGGAUUACAUUUUUCAUCUCAAAAUGCAUAGCUCUCCAAGUCCUCACCUACAAUGAAUCUCUCAAACACAUAGGUGUACUAAUGCAAAAAGGAAAGCUACUAACUACCACGAUCUCACUGAUCGGGCGCGAUGCCCUUGCCGCGGUCCUCCUUCGGCAGCCCUGUACAUACCACUGGAAAUAGAGUGGGGUGAGAACUAUCUUCCAUAGUUCCCAGUGGGCUCGGCCGCCGACUCUGCCGAUCUCCCCACUAGGUCCAAGUGGGCACAAGUAACAACAGAUAGAUAGAUAGAUAUGUAUCUGAAAACUGUAAAUGCGAUAGUAGGAAAACUAUGCUACUAUGCCCAUAAUCAUGAAUAUGAAUGCAUGCAUCAUAUAAUAAAGGUUUGCUACCAUGCUAACAAAUUCGAUCCAUGUUCGAAUAGUAAUGUUCAAUGACAUUUUUAAACCUUUAACUUUUCAUUUACCCAAUCUGUGGCGAGGCCCUAAGGCUCACAUAUAACUCACCCUUCAAUCCCAAAGUGGGGAGGGAGCUCCAUGUGCACCCAAGCCCGGGACCAUCUGCGGACCUCCAUGUGGUCCGGACCUCCAAGUGGUCCUAGUCGCGCGACACUCCGGAGUACUCGACGACAAUCCCCUCCAUGUGGGGAUUGGAUGGCUAUACCAUCCUAAACGCAGACUGUGAGCUAGAUCUAUCCUCUCCAAGUGAGGAUGCCCUACAUCUAGGGUCAACAACUCAAUCAAGUCCUCUCCAAGUGAGGAUGCUAUCAACUAGAGUCAAUACCCAAUUGAGUCCUCUCCAAAUGAGGAAACACUAUCACUAGGGUCCACAACCCAAUCAAAUCCUCUCCAAGUGAGGAUGCCCUACCACUAGGGUCAAUGUCUCAAUCAACUCAUCAACAACCUCUCCAUGUGAGGCUACUUAGGUUUACUAAGUUCUUGUCCACAAGGCAUUUUCUAAGGGAUCCACCUAUCCCUAGGUUCUCAACCCUCUAGUGUUAUUUACACUACAUUAAUGCCACUCGUCAUCAUUUAACAUUUGGAUGCCAUUCGUUUGUUCUUUGACAUUACACUACUUUCUAUGUCAUCAACACCCCCAUCGGGUACAUCUCUUUUCUUUCGCAUUAUAGGAUCCACGUUACGACCCAAUCCUCACCUAUCUAGGUCACCAAGCGUUUCAAGUAUACUAGGUAAUCAAUUAGAAAGCAUAAGGAAUGGAGUUACUAUGCAAUCCUACAAUGCAACAUGUAAGAGAUGAGGUCAAUGCAAUCUAAGACAUAGAAAGGAGUUCGAAAGCUUCGGGAUGGCACACCCCACCUUUGAUCGAUGUAGAGGCUUUGGAUGUUCUUCUCGGCGAACUUUACGAAAAGGCUUUAGCCUUCCUUGCCCAAAUCAAUGCUAGCUCGGCCUUAUUUUGCCGAGAACUUCACGCCGGCUCGCUGAAUGCCAAAACCGACUUCGCCCCUACAAUUCAUGACCUAACAAUAGGGUUUCCAAGGCUUCAAAUGAGAUCAAUCUCAUACUUUCGCAAAAACCCCAUUUUGGAGCCCUAGGUUUGCACCUAUAGCAAACCACCCAUUAAAUCCCUAGAUUCUUGGGAUUGAUCUAUUUAGAAGCAUGCCUAGGGUCCAUUUGACCCAUUCCAAUGCAUAAAAACCUAAAACUCCAAAGUUUAGAAGCUAGGGUUCAAGAGCCUACCUCUUGUGCUACACCAAAGAGAAGAGGAGAGGGAGAUGAAGGUGUCCAAGGCCUUCCUCUUGAUCUCCUUCUUCUUUUCCUUCUUGUUCUUCCUCUUCUUUUCUUUCCUCUCCUUCUUGUUCUUCUCCUUCUUCUUUCUUUUCUAGAGAGAGAGAGAGCAAGAGAGAAAGAGAGUGUAAGAGAGGAAAAUGAGAGGGUGUGAGGGAGAGAGAGGGCUCAACCCACUCUAAUAAAGGCCAUUUUGCAUAAAAACCCCUCAACUUUCCAUCCAUUGCGCAACCCUUACUGGGCAGUUUAACGCGGAGGGACCGGUCUCCCCGACUUGGGACCGGUCCCCGAGAGCUUCCCUCGAGCGCACGCGUUCGGGAACCGAUCUCUCCCCGGGAGACCGGUCCUCGGGAGACCGGUCCUCGCCUGAGAGACCGAUCCCCGAGAGCUCGAUUUUCAGGGCUUAGCCAAAUUUCGGCAUUUCUCGCUCGGACCACGUUCGGGAACCGGUCCCUCCCUACCAGGGACCGGUUGUACCAAGCAACCCCGCUACAUCCAGCCGGGGGAACCGGUCUCUCACCUCCAGAGACCGGUCCCCGAGAGUAACAUCAGCCCAAAAAUACAGUUUGCACCAUUUGCUCUCGCGGACUCAACUCCAAAGCACUUUUGUGUUUUGGACAUUCUUAACUCUCACAAAGGGUAUCUUCUCGACAGUCAGUUGAUCCUAGAAAAAGUACAAUCCUCGGAUUUCGAGAAUUCACUUCCUUACAGAGUACUUUUUCUCAUUCAAUCGAACAAAGUGUAAAAGCUAAUUAUUUUUAUUCUAUUAUGCCCCGAGAGUGUAAAUUUGGAACGAAUCGAUAUCAACGCUCACAAGAACCAAAACCGAAACAACAUUAGACUACUCAGUUGCGCCCUAAGAGUAUAACUUUGCAACGAGUACUUUUUCUCAUUCUAUCGAACAAAGAGUAAAACCUAAUUAUAUUGUUCUAUUAUGCCCCGAGAGAGUAUAUUUGGAACGAAUCGAUGUCAACGUUCACAAGAACCAAAACCGGAACAACAUUAGACUACUCAGUUGCGCCCUAACAGUAUAACGUUGCAACGAGUACUUUU